CCUUUUCCUCUUCUAACGCAAACUCUGUCCAAGAACUCUCCAUGGAUCUUAACAAGAAUCGCUCGCACUUCUCCAUGGCGCAGCCUCAGCACUUGUUGCCGCCUUACUCGUACGUUGCAUGUCCGGCACUUGAUCAGACGGGGACCAUGAAUCAUCAGCCUCUUCACUCAUCGGAUGCUUUUCCUCAGAUCCCGGUUGUACAAACCGGAGGUGAAUUCGGCUAUUUGGUUUGUAAGCCCGGUGUGAGGCAGGAACGAGGUGGAUUUCUUGAUCCACACUCCACUAAGAUGGCUAGGAUCAACAGGAAGAAGGCGAUGCUAAGAUCAAGAAACAACUCUAACCCUAAUUCUAGUUCGAAUGAGUUGGUUGAUUCAAGGAGACAAGUGGCUCUUACCAUGAAAAAUAAUGCCGAGAUUGCUGCUAGAAAAGAUUUUUAUCGAUUCUCCUCAUUCGAUAACAAGGUAUGUAUUUCUUUGGCCCAAAAUAAUGGAAUAUAUGCGAUUCUACAUUCAUAACAUGAUAAUGUUUUUGAAUUUUUUGUUGACUGUACGUAGAAACUUAGGGUUUUGUUGGUGAAGCACUUGAAGAACAGCGAUGUUGGGUCACUUGGGAGGAUUGUUCUACCAAAGGUGUGUAAAUUCUUACAUUUCUCGUAUUCUUUAUGGUAUAACUAAUGUUAAAACAAUUUUGUAGAGGUAAAAACACUAAAUAUGUUGGGGAUGGAUUGAUGAAAGAUUAUCAAUUACGUAACUACGAAUUUUAAAACCUCAAUUUCAUGAGAAAGUUUUUUAAAAGUAAUAUAAUUUCUGAUUUGGCUAUUACCAUUUAAAAAGAUAUUAUCACUGCGACCACAUAUUCUCUCAUUAUGCAAUUUCACACAUUUUCCUCCAUUCAAACCAUCGUUGUUUAACCAAUGAGAAGUUUAGUCUCUAAAACACAUGGAAAACAAGAGGGAUUUUUUUUUUGAUAAACCAGAGGAAAAUUAAACAUGAAAACAAAAUGUGAAAUAUAUAAUUGUUUAAUCAAUACGGAGUAUUUUCGUUCAUUCCUUUUGGUGUGAGCUUUUAUGUUAUACAGUACUAUAGUAUUUUUUUUAGUUUAGCAAGAAUAUGGUGAUUAAAAAUCUAGUUUAAAUUUGGUUUAUCUAUAUUUUAAAUUUGAAGGACUAAAAGUCAAAGUUUUGGAAUGAGCACCAAAAAUGAAAUACAGUAUGAAAAAAAUCGAAAUAGAUUGAUCAUAGCUCCUUCAAUCUAAUAUUCCGUGUAAAAACUUACUAACCAAUGAAUAAAAAACACGAGAAGUAAACGAUUUUCUAGUUGUAGUUAGCUAAAAUGGUUAAUAAAGUGGUUAAAAUGACUUUAUUUUGAAACGGGGUUGAAAAAAAGUCGUAUAUAUAUAUAUAUAUAUAUAUAUAUAUAUAUAUAUAUAUAUAUAUAUAUAUAUAUAUAUAUAUAUAUAUAUUCCUUUCCUAAUUAAUUGCCUCUUAAAUGGCAUUCCUCGAAAUCAUUAAGGAAAAGUAGAAAACAAACAAAAAGCCAUUAUGGAUUAAUUGGGGUAGUUUACUAGUUUUAUUAUAGAAAAAUCAUAUCAAAUCAUCCCCUUUAUCUAUCUUAGUAAGAAAAUAAUUAGUUUAUUUGCACCCAAAAAAUAAUUAGUUUAUUAAAAAGUAACUAAGUAAAUCAUGGGUUUGGAGCGCAGAGAGAAGCAGAAGGAAAUCUUCCGGAGCUAUCUGAGAAAGAAGGAAUGGUAUUAGAGAUGAGAGAUGUUGACUCUGUGCAGUCUUGGUCUUUCAAAUACAAGUGAAGUCUCGUUUCCUUUCUCUUAUAUAUAUAUUGAUAGAAAACAUUUUUAUGUUCCAUUUUUUAAUCUACCAAUAGUUUAACAAACCUUAUAAGUUCUUUAGUGAUUUUUUGUUAGUGGUAUGUUUUAUAGCUUGGAAUUUGUUAUAUCGGUUUCAAUUUAAUAUUUUUGGAACGAGAGAACUUAUAAGGCUUGCAUUAAUGUGAAACGCAGGUACUGGUCCAAUAACAAGAGCAGAAUGUAUGUCCUCGAAAACACAGGUAAUUAAGGAACUACUUUGUUCUUUCAACAAGUAUAGUUUUUUUUUUAAUUCUUUUAUGUUGAAAAUUAAAGGAGAAUUUGUGAAGAAAAAUGGAGUAUUGAUGGGAGACUAUCUAACAAUCUACGAGGACGAAAGCAAGAAUCUCGUGAGCUCUCUUAUUAACUCUCUUUUCUUAUUUUAUUUUGGAAAAGACAAAAUGUUAAAUAAUGAUUGAUUAGUAGUCCAAAAUUGGAAAUUUGAAAGUGUGUCAUUGAAUUUAGUUUGUUCAGCAUCCAGACAAAAAAAAUUAAUUGCAUUUUUAUGAUUUUUAAAUGAAGAUUUUAAUUGAUGUUUCUGCUAUAUUUGAUCAUAAAUAUAACAUUCUACUAUCUAAUUAUUACAUCUUUGAAAUAGUAGUCAAGUAUUUGGUGAUGUUUUAUCCUUUCCAAAAAAUAGUUAUUUUGAGCAGCCGAUUUAUUUGGUUUUGAAUACAUGCAUUGUACCAACCGAACAGUUUUUCAGAAUUUGGUUUUCUAUUUGAGUUAUUAUUUUAUGUAUAUAUAUAAAUAUAUAAAAAUGAUAUUGAAGUCAAUUUUGACUAGUAUGGUUUGAACUAAAAAAAAGAAAAGUUAGUAGUCUUAAUAUUUCUGUUUAUCUUCACAGAAUAUUUUUAUCAAAAUUAAUUUAAUAUUAAUGCUAAAAAAAAAUUUACAUAUGUAAAAAUCAAUACUGAAAGUAUAUAGUUAAAGUCCUAUACAUGACUUGUUGAAAUUUAAUUGAAUAAUGUUUUGGUCAACAACAUAGAACUUAUUAGAGUUUUUUUUUUUUUUGGUAAAAGAACUUAUUAGAGUUUUUUCAUGCUUAUAUUUGGUUUGGUUAUUAAAUAAUUUUCUAACAUUUAUUUCUCCUAAUUGACCAAAAUGAUCAACUGCUUUUUUUUUUUUUUGAACAACCCAAAAUGAUCAACUGCUAAAACAUCUUAUAUAUGUGUAUAUUUGUUUGGCUUCAUUACAGUACUUCUCCAUCAGAAAGCACCCACACAAACAAAAUGAUGGAAGAGAGGAUGAGUCGAUGGAAGUUAUCGAGAUGAACUUCUAUGAAGAUAUAAUGUUUGAUUACAUACCAAAUGAUGAAGACGAUUCCAUUGCAAUGCUCCUCGGAAAUCUAAACGAGCACUAUCCCUACCCAAAUGAUCUUAUGGAUCUCACUGUCAAUCUUGAUCAGCAUCAGCAAGCCACCUCCUCGUCGCCACCUGCUGAUCACAUGAGCUCGAACGAUUUCUUAUGGUGAUGUGAUGGACGUUGAUAUAGAUUCCCUUUGAGAUGAUAUACAAGGGAUAAAAAGAAAAGAGUAUCAUAUUCAUAUCCAUAUUUGUUUGAUAAAAUGUGUUUGUUCCCAAUCUAUUAUUUAUGAAAAACUUAUUUGUGUUUAGCUCCAGAUUAAUUAAAUAUUUUUCAUUUGACUUUUAUACUCCAUAAGCAAAAUUCACAAGAUGUGAAUUCAAUAGUAUUUAGUUAGGCAAUUGUUGAAGUUUUUGUGUAGUUUGAGAGAGGUUCAGAUAAUUUCCUCUUUUAUGAAAGUAUUGGUUCCGCCAUUAUCUUUCCUUUAGGAUUCACCAAUUUUUUUUUUCUGGAGAGAUUUGUUGCAAUUUCCUCUUCGUCGUUAACCGCUUCAGCUGUUAUUGACCAUGAACUGGUGGCUUAUUGAAAAUUGCUACCAAUUCUGAAUCCAGCCAGGUGUGAGUUUUUGGUAUUUCGUAUCAAUCUCUCAAAUAUUUUUUUUAAGCCUUUAUUUUUGUAUUGUUUACUAGUAGUUUUCUGCGCCAUACACAAAACUAAACCUUUCAAAAUAACUAUAUAUAUAUAAAUUUACUUUAUUAAUUAAAAAUAAAAAUAAAAAUAAAAUCAUGAAUAUUUAUUUAUUAUUUAUUUUCCAUUUGACUUAACAAUAUUUACUUUAUUUUUUUGUUUACAUAAGUUAACUGUGUUUCAAAAACAAAAGUUAAGUAAAAUUAUGCUAAAAGUAACAAUUUUGUUUAUCUUAUAUUUAUAUAUUUUAAACAGUAAUUCUGAGUAUAUAUUUUGUUUAAAUUUUACCUCAUCAAUAAAAUGUAUUUAUUUUAUUUAUCUCAUAAAAAUAAUAUCACACAACAAUUAUUGUAUAAUAUUUAAAUCCAAUAAAUUUAAUAGAUUAAAAAUUCAAUUAAUCAUCUAUAACUUAACUGUUCAUAAAAUAUUAAUUAAAAUUGUCAUAAUUUAUUUGUUAUAAACUUUUAUAAUGAAUUUUGAUGAAAAUAUAUAAUUAUACAUCGACAAACAAAUUAACUAUACAAAAUUACUUACUUAUUUUAUCAUAAGUUCAUUUUAAUAAAAAAUAUAUUUACACUUAUAUUUUUUAGAAUAUUAAUAUAAUUAUAAAUAUAAUUUACAAAAUGUAGCCAGAUUCUGUAAUAUCUUAUUUUAAGAUUUUUAACAAAUAUUAAAAGUUUUAACAUUAAAUUUGUAUAUGUCAUAGUAAGAGGGAGAUAAUCCAUUUCAUCAUUUUUCUUUCAAAAUAAAUGUGGUGAUGACACACAAACAAAGUUUAGAAAAUUAAUUCCUAAAUAAUGUUUUGGGGAUCGUUUUAUUUACGUAUUAUAAAACCUUGAAAGUUAGAGGUACUUAUUAGUUAGAAUAGUUCAAUGUAAACUAGUGUUAUUAUAACUGGAACUAUUUUAAUAAAUUUAGUUGGAUUUUCUAAUACAUUGUGGAUUAAUUAGUAUGUAUUAUAAUGAAGUUAUUUUAAUGAUAAAAUAAAAACUAACUCAACAUUAAUUUGUUAUUAAAUGUUUUUGAUAAACUUUCUUUUUAAAGAUUUUGACUAACCUUUCUUUUUGUCGAAUAUUUUUGAUAUUUUCAAGUAGUAUGUAGCUUUAAAUUUUCAGUUUGAAGUUUAAAAUGUUUACUUAAGUUAUUGUCUUUUAAUUUUGGUUAUGUAUAAUUUUGGAUAAAUAUGACAGAUUUUAGAUUAGGAAGAAUCAAUCAACUGAACCGAAUGAUAAUCAUUUUUUGGGAAUUUAUAAGUAUAAUACAUUUAGAACCAAUCCAGAGUUGAGUAGAACCGACUCGAAACCGAAUUAAAACUCUAUGGGUAUUUAUAUAAAUAUAAAACUUAUCUACAUACAAGACAAAUCCGAUAAACACUAACCCCGAAAACUUGAAUGCACAUACAUAGAUAUUGGAAUAAAAACUUAUGAUGAUGUAAUGUAAUUCAUGAAAAAAAGAAAAGGAAAUAUAUAUCUUGAUUAUUUUCAAAUCCAUCUGAAAACCUUUUUAUUUAUUUUACUUUUGUUAUAGAUAUAAGAAUACAUUAAAAUAUAUUAAUAUCAGAAUCUAAUAAAAUACAAUAGACUUCGAAUAACAUAAAGUUUUAGGAGGUGUUAUAAUUUAAUGGAAAUUCAUCUUAUAUAUUAAAACAGAAGUUACAACCUUGAUUCAUGUGUGAUUUAUUUUAAAAAAUGGACCUAAUGGAUCUAUUCAUAGAAAUUCAUAUUACAUUUUAGUUCAGACUAAUAAUAAAUAUAAUUUUUAAAAUAUAUUAAUCAUAAUAUCUUUUGAUAUCUUUUCAUUUUAAAUAUAAAUAUAUUUAUUUUAAAAUUCUAACAAAUCUGUUUAAAAAGAUUUUUACAAGAUCUUUAUUUUCGAAAUUAUAUUUAAAUAUUUUUGCUAAUUUCAAAAUUAGUUUAAAAUAUUAUUAUACAUUAAUAUAUUCAGUUAUAUAAAACUAAAAAUAAAAAAUCUAUAAUAUUUUAUUUAUUAUAUAAUCAUAAUCAAUCAUAUUAAAAUAAAAUUAUUAUAUUGAGCUAAAUAUAAUAAAAUUGUAUUAAAUUUAUAUAUUUAUAUAUUUUAUUUUCGUAAUUACAAAUUAUUUAUGUUCAAAAAUAAAAUCUAAUAUGUUGGUAAGAUGGGUUAACAUUAUCAAACUAUAUAAUACAUGUAUAAAAAUUAACAUGUAUUUCUUUAAAGUUAAUAAUAAAAAAUCAUUGUAACUACUUUAAUCAUAAUAUAUUUUCAUUUUAAAUAUAAUAUAUAUUUAUAUAUUAUAUUUUAAAAAUUCUAAUAAAUCUGUGUAAAAUUAUUUAAACAAUAACUUAAUGUAUUUUAAGUUAUCGUUUAAAAAUGAAAAUAAAUAAAUUAUAUCCUAUUUUAUCUACUUUAUAGUCAUGAUCAUGUUAAAAUAUAAUUAUUAUACUAAAAUAAAUAUGAUAAAAUUAUAUUCAAUUGAUAAAUUUAUAAAUUUUAUUUUCAUAAAUAUAAACUAUUUAUUUAAAAUAUAAUAUGAUGAUAGAACAGCUUAAAAUUAACAAACUAUAUAAUACAUGUCUAAAAAUUAACAUAUCUUAGACUUUUAUAUAUACAAUAAUAAAUUAUCUAAAAUGAAUAAGAAUAAAAAUAUUGGAAAAAAAAAUCCAGUUUUGAAAGACGGGUCAGAAUUUAACAUAAAUUAAAUACAAAAUAAUUUUUAAAUAUAUUUUUUCAUGAAUAUAUUAAUUUGUUUAAUAACUAAAUGCAAAUAUAAUAAGAUAAAUAUAUAAUAAGAAGUGGUAAAUACAUACGGGUUUAAACAAUUAAUUAAUUAUAACAUGUAAAUUAUAAAAUUAUUGUAUUUGAAAUAGUUAUAUAAAUAUUUAAGUAUAUGAUUAACAUUAAAAAUAUAUACCACUUAUAUUCGAAAACAAUAAUUUAUGUAUAGAAAAGUGAAAACAAACACCCGUACGGUUGCACGGGUCAAAAUCUAGUGUAUAUUAAAUUUAGAGUCUUUUUUAUUUAAGUUUAGAGUCAAAUCCAGUGUUACAAUAAAAUCUCAUAUUAUCAAUGUAUAUUGGAUUUUAUUAGAUUCCAGUUAUGAGAGAUUUUUCUGGAUUUAAUAUACUUUUAUCUGUAGAAGACUAAAACAAAUACAUUUUUUUCAUAUUUCCAGUAUUUAAAAUAUAUAACUUCACUAUUUUUUGUCUUUUUAUAAACUAUAUUAUUCAUUUUUUCAUUGUAACAUUUAGACAUGAGCAUUAAGAUUUCCGGGAUGAGUUUGAAUCGGUUUUUAUUGGGUCCAUGUCUUUCAGAGAGAAGUUUGGACCCAUAUAGAUACCCAUAAAUUUAUAUUUCGUGUUGAGUCGGUUCAACUGAUUAUGGAUCAGGUCAGAUCGGUUUUAAAUAGUUUAUACCUAAAAUAUCUUAAAAAUUGGGUAUAUUUCUAUUUAUUUUUUCAGUUCUUUUUAAUCUAAAAUUGGUCAAAUUUAUCCUAAAAUAAGAUAAAUAACCAAAAUUGAGUCAGAAAAUAAUUAAAAUUAAAAUUUUAAGAUUCAAGCUGAACAUUGAAAGUUAUAUACUACUUGAUUUUUUCAAAGCAAAUUCUACAAAAAGAAUGGAUUGGUAAAAAAAUAUGCAAUGAAUUGUUUUACUAAAAAUAUUUUAACUGAAUUUCAUUUUCUUAUUGAAUUGAUAAUACGAAGAAAUUUAUUAAAAUAUAUAAUAAUUUAUCUAUCAUGUAUUAGAUGAUUUAACUAAAUCUAUUAAAAUACUUGCCAUUACAAUUACACUAAAAUAAACUGAUCUACUCAACACCUCUUCAAUGUAUUUCAUAUUCCAUCUAAUAAGAAUUUAAUCCAAUAACACCAGAUUUGAUUAUAAAUUUAAAAUACAUUCAACUCUACUAAAUUAUAAUACUCCAUCCUUUCGAAAAGAUACAUAUUCUAGAAUUUUUUUCUGUUUCAGAAUGUUAUAUUUUUGUAUUUCCAAUGCACUUUUUAUCAAUUAAUAAUGAUUAAUUGUAAACUUUAAGAAAAUUAAUUGCAUUUUCUGAAUUUUUAUUGGUUUAAAAUUAUAGGAAAUAGAUAAUGAUAGAAAUUAUGUAUUUAAUAUUGAAAUUAAAUAUGUUUUAUUAAUCUGUGUGAAAAACCUAAAAUAUGUAUCAUUUUGAAAUGGAGGAAUUAUUCAUUAACACCAUCUUAAUGCAUGAACAAAAACAAAAACACAAAAUAUAUAAAUUCAAUUGAAUCUACAUUUACAACAAUAAUCAAACUGUAAUCCUGUAGUUACAUUGUCAGAAGAAAUUCUCUUACUACAGCGCUAAAAAAAACUCAAAUGAAUUUUUAAGAUCUCAUAUUACUAUUUAAUAUAUAAUUUAGUUAUAUAAUUAAAUAUCCUUUUCUUUUUAAGUGACCAAUCCAAUUAUAAAAUGAUACUCCCUCUGUUCCUAAAUAUAUGAUGUUUAGAAUAGUUUUUAUGUUCCAUAUGUAGGAUGUUCUCAUAUGUCUAGGUAGCUUUAAGUUUAUCAAAAACUGUGUAACCAAUCAAAUUUAAUAGUUUUAUUUUGUAAUUGGUUGAAUAGUUUUAAUUUAAAAAUUUAAUGAUACUUUUUAGAAAAAAAGUAACUUUCUUAAUAAGUGUGUUUUACCUAAAAAUCUUAUAUUUAGUAACAGAGGGAAUACUAAACAUGUUUAGUAAUAUGUAGAAUUAUAGUAUAAUUGUAACCACAUAUAUCUUGCAAAAUUUUUAAAAAAUCUCGGAUUAUAUUUUUGAAACCUUAAAAUCAUGUAUAUAUAUAUUAGGGCGUAGUCCAAACUCUUCCCAGUUUACAAAAUUAAAGAGAAAAAUAUAUAUUUUUUUUUUAACACCAAGAGAAAAAGUAUAAUUUGCAUAAAACUAAGUAUUUUCCUUUGUCUUGUAUACUAUAUAAACAUGUGUUAUUAUUAUUCCUUCCUAAGCAUGACAUGUUUAACGCAUACUUAAAUAUCUUGCUUGCAACACAAGAACACAGAAAAUGGUACCUAACCUCACGGCUUAGAAUUUCGGUCCUGGAUCUUGGACUCCGUCGACGUGAACUGUGUCUCCGGUUACUGGUUCAUAAUGGUGCUGAUCGGUGCAGUGCUGGUGGUGUUGAGACGCAAUGCCUCCCGUUUUACAUUCACUCCUAAUCUCGGCUUGCCACGUUCUCCACUGUUUGGGUCUGAUACCUAAUUCCAAGUUGCAACGAGACUACGUCGAUGGCCUCCUGAGAACACAUCUGCAACUCAAGGUGCAAUUUAAGUGACUCUCAGAUCAGGGCGGCACAAAUCGGUGGUCGACGGUGGUGGUUGGUGGUGAAGAUACGUGAACGAUGGUGAAUAUAUACAUGCAGCUGUUGAAUCGGCUGGGAUAAAUGGUGGAUUACGAUGACUCCUUUGAUGACUACAUGGAUCGCCGGUGACUUGUGGCUCAUGGCGGUGACUGGUGGUGGUGAUGUGUCACAUGUGGUGAUGUAACCGUGACUGAACCAGCAGGUGACUUGGAGCAGGAUGCCUAAACGAACUAGAUGAGCUAAGUGACACUAAUUUGGAGCACAAUGAGCUGAAUGAGCUAAGCUACAUUGAGGUUGUUAUGGACCGAGCUAGAAAGGAAGAAAUUCGGCCCAAACCUGAUGAUAGAUCAGAGUUGUCUUUCUCAGUCAAAAAGGAAACAAAGAUCCAUUCUCCUUGUCUAGAGGUCCAAUCACAAGAUCACAAACCAAGAGACUGAAGGAAGCUAUUUAGUGUCUGUUUACCUGAACCAGGAUCAAAACAAUUCAAAAAUCAAGUGAAAGUGCCAGCCAAUUUAUUCAACUAUUCAGUCUCCAAGACCACCUAGGAUUUAUCUCUUUCGUUUUUUGUUUUCUACAAGUCAUUAGGAAAACUGUGUUCUUUUCUUCUACAUAAACUCAUGUAUUGUUUCUGAAUUAUUCAUUCACUUUUGUCAAACAAAUCUCUUUUGUCUCUGUAAAUCCCUUGUUUGUCUUUGAACAUUGACUACUUAGGAGGGAAAUCUCUGCAAGCAACUAUCGUUUUUUAUCAUUGUUUGUGGGAACGCCUCUCACGAUCAAAGACAAAUCUACACAAAUGUUGAUCAGUCAUAUAUCCACACUGCAGUCCAUCCAACCCUAUUCCAUCCCUCAUCAAUUUAAUUGUGUUAGUAACCAAUUUGAUCAUCAAAACCAUCCUGAUUGUGCUAGUAGCCAUCAGAAUAUCAACCCAAAAUCGACCCUCAAGAUCAAUAAAAGGGAUUAAACCAUCAAGGAUUUCAUUAAGUGUGUCACAUGUGGUGGCUCCUCUCUCACUCACGCAUCAAAAAGGGCUGCUGCCCUUUGUAGAAGGAGAUGAAUACACAUGUAUAUAUUAAUAUAUAUGUAUACGGUAUACCACGUUUAGUGAAAGGGAAACAAAUAUUUGAACCAGACUUGGUUUAGUAAACCAGGUUGUUAACAUAAAGUUUUGAAAUCAAAUUCUUCUUUCCGAAAAAUCCAUAUUUUUCUAGAUGUUAACAUAAAGUUUUUUUCCUGCUCAUUAAUUAAUUUACUUUUUUGUCAAGUAACGAAUUUUAGGUAAAAAGAAUUGAAAUGAUGAUACUUUUUUUGUUACUUUGAUGUAUGUUAUUUUAGGUGCAUGAAACAUAGUGAACAAUCAUUGAGUUCUUUUCUAGAUCCAAUUUUUCACCACGUCAAUAUCCAACUUUGGUGUAGCAUUUGAGUUGAGAUCGUUGAUUUCGAAUACACUUCUAUAUAUUGUGGAUGCGUCUUCGUGCUAAUAUUAUAUCACGGUCAAUAAAAUUUAGUAUUUAGGUUGUUAACAGAUAUACAUGUUGUUAGUUCGUUGUAUGUUUCCGUCAGAAGGCUUUGAUUGGUAAUAUAUAUUACUAAUGACUCAAAAAAUUUACCAAUCAUGAAUUAGUUUUAAAUUUUUUAAGUUGUGUUUAAGUUGUAAUAUAUUAUUAUUCAGUUACAAUUUGAAGUUAUAACCUUUGUAAAAAUAAUAAAUCAAAUAUUAAAUUGUUGAGUUAGAGAAUUUUUUAGGUUUUCUAAUAACUACCCACGUCCAUUUUCUUAUUUCUAACAAAUUCAACAAUUUACAAAAAAAAAAUGAUCAUAUAGUUCAAUACAUAGUUUUAUUAAUUAAUAAACUAUAUUUAAUCAUUUAACAUUAGCUAUCUACUAGUUAGCCAAAGAUUUCUCAAAAAAUAAUCACUAAAAUUAGUUAAUCAAAACUGUUUCUAUAUUUUAAUUGUUAAUUUUGUUUGGUAACUAAAAUUUACGUCCAUAAAUUAUAUAUAUAUAUAUAUAUAUAUAUAUUCAAGUUAAUAUAUUUUAUUUCUCUCUACAAUUUUCUUUAUUGAAAUUAUUUAUAUUAAUUUUAUAUUUCAAAAAUAAUACAUACUACCGUUUAUACAUCAAAAUUUUUACCUAUUAAUUAUGUUACUAAAAUAGUAACUUAUAAUACAGCAAUUUUUUUUGAAUGAAUCUGAAAAUUUAUUCAAUCCAAAUUUUUUGUUUUUACAAUGACUGCUUUUUUGUUUUUGACUUUGAAAGCUAUCAAAGGUUUAAAAAAACGAGCAUAUGUGAUGAAAACAGAGCAUGUAUCCAUCUGAUCUCUAGUUUCUUCUCAAACUAAACCACAACCCAUAGCACCAUCAUAUCUGCUACGAUCUUCUUCCCCAGAGACAAUAUGUGGUUUCGAACCGUUUUGUCAAUAUUUUGUUGGAUUUGUGUUUGCCCCAUGCUUACUUCACCAUGACAUCUUCUAUAUCUCUCCCACCAUAUGGUGUAUAUUGUAGCUUGAAAGACAUAGCGUAAUGUGAAGAGGGGAGUGUCAUCCUUUAAGAAACCCACGAUCAACUCAAGGAUUCGACUCCACUCGUUUGUAUAGCUAGAGCCCAGCAGCGCCGAAGUACAAAAAUCUACAACAAACUCACUAAAUAAAUCUACAGCUUCUACUCCAUAAUUUUUACUAUAAAUUACAUCAAAUCAUAAUUUUUAGCGUAAAUCAACUUUAAUACUAGCCUCAAUAAUAUACAAGAGACGUUUCACACAUUGUAUCGUUUAUCUAUUAAUGUGGUUUAUCUCUCUUUUUUUGGUGUCUGAUAUUAUGUGAAUGAGUGGCUAAACAUCGUCAUUAACUUUAACAAAUACUGCAAGUGAAAUGACAAGUAAGAUGGUAUACACUAAGGGUUCGACUGGUACCAUUCUGGAAUCAAGAAGAACGAAUAGAAAAGGAACAUAAAGGAAUUCAUUCUUAAAUUUAACAAGGAAUAUUUUUGUUUUUUAUUUUUCUACAAAAAAAAAAGAAUGGUAGGGAAUGAGAAGAAAAAAUUAUUCCUUAUGAAUGAUGAUAUUUUUUAGGAACGUUAGGGAAUACAUUAUUCCUCGCCGUUUUCUGGUUACCUUUCAUAUGCGUCAGACAAUUUGGGGACAUGAAUUACCUAGAUAUGUUUAGUUGAUAGGAGAAAAUUAUAAUGAGAUUACUUCAAAGUUUUGCAUAGAAAGGCCCAACUUAAGAUUAGAAAUUUAUACUUUCAGGCUUUAGCAAACUAAUUAUUUAUUGUUUUAAAAAAACAAAAAAAACAAACUAAGUAUUUAUUGAGACAAUCAAAACAAUAAUAAAAGGAGGAUAUGCUCACCGGAGAGCCCCUCCACGUCAGCACUUAUAUUUGACCAAUAGUGUGUGUUCGUUUGUCCACGACCAACAGACGCUAUCUGAACUUGGGCUUCACAUUUUAAUUGAUUCAUAAUAAGCUCAUUCUCGUGCGUAGUCCAAGAUCAGCCUCAUCUCACCACUUACACUUACGAUCCCUUGCGGCGAUUCAUCUCUUCGACGACUCAUCACUUCGCCGUUACUCCUUUUCCAUGGAUCGAUCAAUCGGCACCGUAUUCAUGAGUGAAUCAUCCUCUGGAGAACUCAUUAAUGUGUUCUUUUGCCUAUCUUCCUUCCAAUCUCUAUAUAACCUUCAUAUCUUCUCCAGAUUAGUUACACACACAAAUAUCUCAAACCAUGAAUUCCAACAGUCAAGCACCUAUUUCCGGCGAUGUUACCACGACGAAACCAAACGGAAAAGACGUUGUCUCCUCCGCCGAGCCUGUCAAACGAGUCGGUCAAACCGGAGUCUUUCUCGCCAGAUCUGCUUCUGGCGUUUCAAAAUCUAAGAAACCAGUCGGCAGAGCCGUUAUCUCCUCUACCGAUACGGCCAACCGAGCCGGUCAUCCCGGAGACCCUCUCGCUACAGCUAUCUCCGGCGAUUCCAAGUCCAAGAAAUCAAGCGGCAAAGCCGUUGCCUCCUCCGCCGAGCCGGUCAAAGGAACCCGUCAACACGGAGUCUCUCCCGCUAUCGCUGUCUCCGGCGAUCCAAAGUCCAAGAUACUCAACGGCAGAUCCGUCGUCUCCUCCUCCGCCGAAGUACUGUUCUUCAGAGAUGUCAAGUACGGACCACAAGAAGGCGAGCUAAGGUUUCGUCUGAUACAUUUUUGGGAGGCUCGGAACGCACUCACGAAGGUCCUGUUCGGUCUCGAAAUGAUUCUGAUCGACGGACAGGUCUAUUCCAACGUUUAUGAUUUCGUAUUGGUUUUGCUUUUCCGAUCAAAUAAUAACAUUCGUCGCUUUGUUUUUUGUUAUCAACAGGGUACUGUGAUCCAGGGGUUCAUCCCACCCAACAGGAUCGAGACCUAUUUGCCACAUAUGUUCGCUGGUUCCGUCUACAGGCUUAAUAACUUUUAUGGAUCUAAAAGCAAGACUGUAUACCGAGUUGCUGAACCAUUAGUGACGAUUGCUUUCUCAUGGAACUCUGUGCUCUCACCUCUCGAGAACAGUCCGAUUCCGUUUCCUGAAGACCGGUUUCGUUUCUAUGGUUAUGAGGAGUUUGAAGCGGCCUGUGACCUCAAGGGAGAUCUUUAUGGUAAUCUUCUCUCGAAAUCUUUUGUUUAUCACUUGAUUGGUUUGGAAUACGGGGUCCUUUAGUCGUGUAGGUUUAGGUUUGUUAGUAUGAUAUACAAUAAUAAGUAUUGAUUUAUCUUAUGGCAGAUUAUGUCGGUCACAUGAAACUGGUGAAUGAGCAGACCUUGAGUGAUAGUCUUGUGCUUGAUGAAGUCGAGAUAGCUUCUUCCAGGAGAAUUUUGGUCCAUGUCCAGACGCAUGAGUGAGUUCUCUUUUUAGUUAUCGAUAUCACGAGUUGUAGAACGCAUUGAUAGAUAUUUAGGAACACUAUAAAUAAUAAUUAUACAAAAAAAUAUAAAUAAUAUUUUAUAGAUAUGAUCUCGAGAUUAGAAAUAAAUUAAUUUCUCUUUGAUGGAUUAAAAUUAGUAUAUUGAGUUCUUUUUGUAUAAAAAAAAUCCUAACUACAUGAGUUUGGUUUGAUGCAGUGGUCCUGUCAUGAAGCUGUACAUAUGGGACAAGGUUGCUGUAGACUUCUGUGAGAAGUUUAAAGCGCUUGGAAAACCUCCAACCGUUAUUCUGGUUACAACUGUGAAUCCAAAACGUUUUGGAGGUUAGUAUUACCUAAACUUGAUUGUGGUUUAUUGAUGUUAGUAGGAGGCGUGUGGAACAUUGGUUAUUUGCUAAAUUUAUUUUUGUUUGGUAUGGAACAUUGGUCAUAUUGCAGGUGCCUUAACUCUGUCAUCUCUAUCCUCAUCGCGUGUGUUUUUUGAUAUGGAUGUUCAAGCAACCCGGGAAUAUCUGGCUUGGUAUGUGUUCAUUUAUUGAUUUGGAACAUCUAUUCCAAUUCACCGAGCGAUUAACUUUUAAAUUUUUUUUGUUUCUGAACAUUUACACAGGUUUGAAUCGAACACAGAAGUUGCCAAUAGGGUGUAUGCUGAGAUUGUCACCAAAGCCGAGACGGCUACUAUAGGGGAGCUGUUAUCUUACAUGAUGCAGGAAGAGGCAAAGGUACAAUAUUUGAUUCUUUAGUCCAUACGUUGCGCUAGCUUUAGUUAUUUACGAUCUUCUCUGAUAUAAUUCGCAGGUAGCUUGGUUUGAGUGCACAGCCACUAUUGAUGAUGUUGUGCGUGAUUCGGCAUGGUAUUAUAUUGCUUGUGGUGGGUGCAAGACUAAAGCAACCAAAGGGCCUACCACGCUUAUGUGUAAGAAGUGUGGAAAGACUGAGAUUGUCGGCACUCCAGAGUAAGAUUUGUAUUCAUAUUUUUUUUUUGUGUCAGAUACACUUUCAGCAUCCAUUAAUAAUGUUCUUAUGUCAUAGGUAUCUCACGAAGAUCUCUGUCUAUGACAACAAUGAUCACGCAAGCUUCGUGCUUCUCGGUGAUGCUAGGCGUGAGUUGACUGGGAUGAAAGCCUCGGAUUUGGUUGAGAGCUACUUUGAGGUAAUUACAUACCUAUCCAUCAUUUAGGUUUAGAAUGUAUUCUUAUACAUGAUUGGCUAUGUAUUAGGCCAAUGAAAACGUCGGAGAUGAUCAUGUCGUCCCGGUGCCACAGUCUCUUACUGAUUCCAUUGGACAGUCUCGCACGUUUAUUAUCAAGGUAUCAAAACACAACCUGGAUGGCAAGACCCAGACUUUGACUGUCACCAAAGUUCUCCCUUUAGAAGUUCCAGCACUUGAAGGCGACAUAGAUGAAGGCGUGGAAGAGGAGCCUGUUGAUGAAAAGGAUGGAGCUGCAGAUGGGAAUGUGAAAAGGAUAUCUGAUGGGAUUGAGUCGGGAGAGACCAAGCGUGCCAAAUGUGACUAAUAAGUUUCUGUUACUGUUUUCUUUGUUUUAAUAAAGACUAUGCUUUGUUUUUUCAUCUUCAGACUUUGCUUUUGUGUCAUUUGAACAAUCUUGGUGUUUGAUAAAGACUAUGCUUUGUUUUAUUCCUUAUUGCUUAAUACUUGGCUAAGGCUAGAAGUAGCUGAUUGAUACCUUUGAAUGCUUGGAUAAUAUAUUUACGUAUGCAUGCAGGUAUUACUUAGUAUAUUAGCAUCUACGUUAAUCAUAUAGUCAUUUUUAUAUGAAGCAUCUACUUUGUUUUUUUAAACUACAUCACUUGGUUAAUAUCAAACCAAUUGCGAAAACCUAUUCAAAAAGAAGUUGCACGAAUAAAUUUGUGAUUUCCUUAAUAUACCAUGUGGCUUGAAAAUGUGAUAUUAUAUGAUCACUUAACAUUGCUUGAAAUUAAUUUCUUUGAAACAUUUGAUUAAGAAAGAUAAUCAAUAUAAAAUAUAUGUUUUAUUGAAAUGUAUCUAUACUAUUAAAACUGCAACACCAAACAAAUAAAUAUCUUAACUCUUUCUAGAAGCCAAAAUGGAAAUUUGCUGAAACAUAAAAAAAAUAAAUAUCUUAACUCUUUCAUGAAUAUUUUUCGAAUUAUUUUGAAUUUGUUUCUUUAUAUUUUUUAAAUUGAAACUAUUUUUAUUUUAAAUUUGAAAGGAUUUCGAUUUUUUAUAACAUAUAAUUUGAAAGCUAUAUAAAACUUAAAACAUAUAAUUUCAAUUUUCAGUUUUCAACUACUAUACGUAAAAAAAUAUGAUUACGUACUCUUUUUUUGAAAAGAGGGUUUUAUAUUUUAAGUAAUUUAUUAGAGUACUUUUUAUUUUCGUGAAUUUAUUCGAGAUGAUAUCCCAAUCUUUUAAAAUAAGAGAAUUUAUGUUCUAUACAUAAUUAUAUUAUUUUAGAUUUUUUUCAUAUUUUAUUAGUUAAUUGUGUUACAUAUAAUAGAAAUACUUAAUUCAAACUAAAAUAUAUUUUAAAAAACAAAUUUUAAAAUUAGUUAAGUUAAGUUAAAAAUGAUAAAUAUAACAAAUUUAAAUAUAUUAUCCGCGCGUAGCGCGGAGAAAGGAUCUAGUGUCUAUAACAAAUCGACUGUUCAGUUGAUUUCCACUAUGAUGAGUGGUUUAUUUUGCAAAGCUUAACAAUAAUAAAUAUUUUGAUACUUAUAACGGGCUUGGGCUUUGGUCGGCAAGCGUAUUUGUAAUGUUCAUCCAUAGCUGUCUAUGUGAUGGAAUCUUCCAAUACUGAGGUUUCUCAAAUCUUGCUGAAGACGACAAAGCUGACAACAAUCUUAUGAUCCUUUUAGAAUGUGGAGUCGGAGGCGUAGAGGAGCUGGGUUAGCACAUGUAUUGUAAUAAGGAUCUAAUCUAAUAUAAGAACUAUAUAUUUUGAUUAGGAUAAGAGAAUAUACAAAAUAUGUGUUGUACUUUUUCCUAUAUAUAUAUAUAUAUUUAACCGUGUGAAUUAAUAAUACAUGCAUAGUUAUUCAUUUCCUUCUUAUACAUACAUACCAUAUACAUUUGCAAAAAAAAAACAUCUAUUGACGCAUAUCAAACAUCAAGUUAUUCACUGUUACAUUAAAUGUUAAAUUCAGGCUUUUCAUGGGUUUCAACUUAAAAACAAUUGGAUUGACCCUAAACAUUUAUAUAUUACUCAUGGCCUAGACAAACUCUUGAUGUGGGAGCUUAUACUCUCCACAUAUUACUCAUGGCCUAGACAAACUCUUGAUGUGGGAGCUUAUGCUCUCCACACCCUCUCUCGAGAUGAUGGUUCUUAUAACCAUUAAUCUCGACAAUAUCCCAGACUAAGAUUUAGUUCAGUCCGAACUCCGGACAAUUCGGGUCAAGGUCGGUUUUAGGAUCAAUCGGGCCUCUUUUGAUUGGCUUGAUCGAUUUUAAUUCAGUUGGGCAUGGUGUGUUCGGACUCUUAAAUUCAGGUUUAUCGUCGGUUUCCAAUUUAAAACCAAUUACUUAUAAUUAAAUUGACCUUAAACCUUUAUAUAUUACUCAUAUCCUAGUCAAAUUCCCGAUGUGUGAGCUUAUAUUAUCCACAUUAAUGUGCCAUUCUUUCGACGAUGGUGUUGAGAACUUCUUUUCACAAUAACUCAUCUGCAGCUGGGACUCCAUAACGUUUAUAUGGUGUGGAGUUGGCUGCACACUUUUUUAAGAGGGUUGGACUCCUCUUGUCACUAAUCAUCUUAUCGUAUCUUGAACGAUCCAGACCUGAUCCCACCUGUAUGUUUGCAUCGUGUUGCGUUUUGAUCAUCCAAUAAAGGCGGCUUUCGAACUGAAUUAACUAAAUCGUGUCGGAGUAUAAUUUUGUGAAAUUCUUAUGUUAUGAAUAUCAGUUGGAGUUGCAUUCACUCAUUAUAAUGUACUAGGUAAUUAUCCGCGCUACGCUGCGAAAUUUUUUUAUUUUUUAUUUUAUUGUUUAUAAAAUAUUUUCAUUUUAUAAAUGAAUAAUUAUAUUAAUAUAAGUUUUGUAUCAAAAUAUUUAUAAUCUAGACAUAUAUUGUAUUUUUUAUAUUAUGGUUAUUGUAUAAUAAUUAUUUAUUUGAUAUUAAACUUUAAAAGAUUAACUUCCAAGUUAAGUUUUUCGCACCUUUGUUCUCAAGUUGGUGGUGUAAAAUCUCUUUUUGUUUUUUGGGUUUUAGGUUCCAGUUUAUGGUCUAAAAGACUAUAAUACAAUCAUCUUUCCAUUCCAUAAAAGUAUUUCAUAUUUUUAUUUUUGUUUCAAUAUAAAUAUCAGUUUUACAUUUUAUAUAUUAAAAACUCAGUUUAAUCCUGAUUUUUACCUUUUGUAUCGAUCAAAUAAAAAAAUAAUGUGGAGUUCUAAUUAAAAAUAAUAUAGAGAACUUAAGUAUUUUCUUAAUAUUUUUUUUGACAGCCGCCUUAUAACCAUACUUAUGUAUUUGAUCCUUAUUUUGAUGUCGUAUUCUAUCAUUCUUACUAAAUGAUAUACGCUAAAUUUUUUUUACAUCACUUUUAUAUUUAUACUUUAUUAUUCAUUUAUUUUUCAAUUGAGUUUAAGGUUAAGGAUAGAAGUCCAAUUCAUUUCUUUUCCUACGCUUUUCUGGUUCACCAAAUUUAAAAUUCAACAUUGUAGUAAAUGUCCUUCACUUCACUUCAAAUUUAAAAUUCAGUAUUGUAGUAAAAUAAUUAGCCUUUGUUAAAAUAAUAUAUUUUGUAAAAUGAUUUCGGUAAAUAUUCCAUCACCAAUAUUAGUAUUGGCUUUUGAAAAUAUUUUACAUAGAAUAUAUUAUGUGAUAUUUUUGAUAAAAUUCGUAACAUAAAUGUCUGUGCAUUCUUUAUUUGUUGAUGUAGUUGCUCUUUCAUUUUGGUGAACUUGUCUACCAACUUUGAGAAUGAGACCAACCAUUUGCAUCAUAAUUAGACCAGAGCUAGUAUGAUCGACUCUUCUUAGCAGUUAGAACUAAAACUAGUAUGAUCGAUUCUUCUUAGCAGUUAGAACCAAAGCUACUAUGAUCGCCUCUUCUUGAGUUUCAAAAAGAAUUAUUCUUGAGGAAAUCUCAGCUUAGUUUGAGCUUAACAACUCAUCAAAUAAUCUUAUUGUCCGUUUGAUUGUUUGUGGCUUCUUCACCCGAUGGAAUUAUGGAUUGUGAAUUUGUGGUCUUCUUCAUGUUUGAAUGUUACUUAUGAUCCCUAAUAGUGUCAUGUUAUAUGGUCUUCGAUUUCACCAAUUUAGUAAUAAAUUGUAAUAAUCUGGUUUACUAUAAUCUGUUUGGUGUCUAAUUAUAUUUAUUUUUAUCAAAUCAAAACUCAGUUAUUUUAUUCACUUUAACCUAACCCGUAUAUUUCUAUAACCAUAUAUAUCUCCUUCUACCUAAAGCCAAGUUGUCAUCUUCUUUGUAUAGUAAACACUGAUGUUUCUCACCAGCACUCCUUUUUCUGAUCUUCUCUUCUUCCCCUACUUCAGACUUCGUUUGGUUAUUGGUUCGUCCCUCAAAUCCUCCUCUUCGUUCAUGUAUGCGAAAAAGACGUGUUCGUCUCCGAUCGUCACCACCACUGUUGUACAUAGAGUGAUAGAAUCAUCUCAUCUUUACUCUUGUUGGUAUUAUGUAGCGGAACCGAGACUUGGAGGAGAGCGACAUCGGGGCUGCCGCUCUUCACCAUCACUAGACGCUGGAAUAUUCACAAUCCACCGGAGAUAUGCACCGUUACCAUAAACCCUCGAACUCCCACCCAAAACCCUCUACACUUGCUCACAGAUCUCUUCGCUCUCCGAGAAAGAAGAUGGAGGAGGAUCAUGUUUUCUCAUCUGUAAUAUAACAUGAUUUUAAUGGUAUUUAGGAUAUCAUUUUGCUCAUUCUAAUCAUUCUAGGUGGCAUUUAGGUCUUUAUAUUUCAUUUUCAUACAUAAUUGCAUUUGAUAGGGUUUGGAAUGCACAUUUGAAAUUUUAUGGCGAAAUCAUGGGUUAAAUUUCACAUUAUGGAAGUUUUGGGCCCACUGUGAUGUUAACAAGAGUCCAGGGACCAACGCUGCAAAUUUACAAUUCUCGGUUGGGUUAAAUUGCACAAUUGAAAGUGCAGAGGUCUUGGGCCCAAUGUGUUGUUAACAAGAGUUCAAGGACCAACGCUGCAAAUUCACAAUUCUCGGUUGGGUUAAAUUGCACAAUCGGAAGUACAGAGGUUGAUUUGAGAGGGGUGUGUCUGCAUUGGGGUCAAAUCGUGAAUUGUCGAAAACGUUAAGGACCAUAUGUGCAAAACAGCUAAAUAUCACCAUUGUCGUUCUUCUUCACUUUAAUCCCGACGAUUCCGGCGGUUACCACGGCUGAUUCCGACAAUGGCGAUGGCUGAGAGUACAACGAAGUAGGCGACUUGGAUGAGAGACCCAUUGGAGGAUCUGUCGAGCUUCUCGACCGGAAGCUCAGCCACAACAGAGAUGAUAAUCGGAGUUGCAGAGGACGAGUCCGGUGCUGCUGGCUGGAACACGAACUGAACCAUCACCAUGAGCCAAGCCUGAGACGAAGAAGAAGAAUAUGGAGUUCACGAUUCAGGCCCGAGACACACACGACGAACUGCGACGGAGAAGAGGAAGCUCGAGACAGAGGUGAAUCAUGAGGAGAUGAAGCUGGCCACAAGGCGGGAAGAGAUGAGUCGAGCUAUGGACUCCGGUGACAGAAAAGGUGAACUGCAGUGAAGAUGAAUCGUGGCGGAAAGUUUGAAACAAUCGAAGGAUACGAUUUCAACGGAGAAGAAGAAUUGACGUGUACAAACAAAAUAAGUUGAUUGGUUCUUCAAGUUUUGUCAGUUUAUGACAUGUCAAUCCUUCAGUUAUUUUAAAAGCUGGGAUGUCAUGUUCUGGAGAGAACCUUGCUCCAUUAUUGUGUUGAUUUUUGUUUGGCUUUUAUAAAAAAAGAUUCCAGCCCCCAAGUUAGUUAAUUAAAUAUCAAUUCUCUUAUGGGUUUCAACGUACACUUCACAUUUGCCAAAAGUUAGAGCUUCAUGUGUUAAGUGUAGAGAUGUGUUUGCUGGAUAUUAUAGCAUCUGAAUCCGUCACUACUUUUGGAUACUGUGGUAGAAGAAUCAUCAUUUAAAAGAAAAAUAAACAUUAAUAGAUUGAAAAAUUGCAAGUUUCAUACACAUAAAAGCAUGUAAACUCAACAUCAUUUAAUGUUAUCUUUUCAAAACUAUAUUAUUAUCUUUGAAUCUACCAUAUGCUUGGAUAAUACAUAUAUACUAAAAAAUAUUCUUCUGUUUUAGAAAGUUAAUAUUCUAAAAAAUUAUUUCCGAAAAAAUACAUUUUCACAUUUUCUAUGUAUUUCUUUAUUAGGUAAUAGUGAUAAAUUAUAAAUUUUAAAAUUAAUUAGACUUAUUGAAUUUUUAUUGGUUUAAAUUAUAAGAAAUAAAUAAACACAAAGUAACAUAUUUAUAAUUAAAAUUAAAAAUGGUUUUUUUUUAAGAAAGAGAGACAGUGCAUUUUUACAAUGAUUUCCACAUUUGGCUUGAACUGUAGAGACAUUGGGAAUUAGAGUUACUCUACCAUUGAAUACCUAAGUGUCAGCACAUUUUAUAUAUUUUCAACCAGUAUCUAAUAUAUUAAAAUAGAAGUCAUGACUUUUUUUCAUGUGUGAUUUUUUUAGUUUGGACCAUUCCUAGAAAAUAUCAUAUUUUACAUAAGUUCAUUAUUAUUUUUUUAAUAUCUUUAUCUUUUCAUUUGAAAUACAAAUGAAUAUAUUUAAAAUGUUCUAACAAAAUAUUUUUAAAAUCUUCUUAGAAUCUUUUUAAAUUUACUUUCGAAAAUUAGUUAGUUUUAAUUUAAAUUGUCAUCAAAUAUAAUUAGAAAUAAAAAUUGAAUAUAGUUUUGGUUUAUAAACGAAAAUUUAAAUAAAAUGAAAUUAAUUAAUUUCAAAAAUACAUUUACUAAUAAUUUUUAAAGAUUUUGUUAGAAAUAAAUAUUUAUUUCUAUUAUAAUUUUUCAAAUUUGUUUUCUAAUAAAAUAAAAAUCAUGAUUUUUUGAUGAGUGAUAUUUUUAUUUGGACCAUCAUUUAAAUUUUCUAUUAAAUGUAUAUCACUAAUGCUAAUAUAUAUAAUAUUUUUAACUAAUUUAAUCAUAAUAUAUUUUAUAUCUUUUAAUUUUUUUUAAAAAAAAUUAAAAUUCUAACAAAUCUCUUGAAAAAGAUUAUAAUAAUAUCUUAAUUGUUAUAAAUUGAAUAUAAAUAUUUUCAACUAAUUUUGUAAUUAGUAAUGAAAUGUUACUAAAAGAGUAAAAUUAUAUCCUAUUUUAUUGAUUUUAUAAUAAUAUCUAUCAUUUUAAAAUAAAAACGUUGUAUUGAAAAAAAUAUGAUAAAAUUAUUUUAAAUUGAUAAGUUAACAUAUUUUAUUUUCAUAAAUAUUAACUAUUUAUGCUAAAAAUAUAAUAUGUUGGUAGAACAAGUUAAUAUUAGUAAAGUAUAUAAUACAUGUAUAAAAAUUUAUUUUAUCUUAAACUUUUUAAUAUAUAGUAAUUUAUUAUAUAAAAUUAAUAAACAUUAAAAAAUUCUAAAAAAAAUCUAGCAAUUUGAAUUACGGAUCAUAAUUAUAAUAAAUUAAAUACAAAUUUUGUUUACAUAUAUGUUGUUUCAUGCAUUAAAAAAUUUAAUUUAGUAAUCAAACGCAAAUUCAAUAGGACAAAUAUAUAAUAAGCAACAUAUAUAUGUGAUGAUUUUAAUUUACAGCAUGAAAACUAUAAAAUUAUUAUAUUUGGCAUAAUUAUACAAACAUUUAAAUAUGUGAGUAACAUUAAAAAUAUAUACACGCACGGUUGUGCGGGUGAAAAUCUAGUUCUAAAUUACGCAAUAAGUAUAAUGUAUAUACACCAAACAAUUGGAAGAAGCCGUAGUUUUGUUAUAACAUGCGAUGAUAUAGAUAAUUAAGAAAAAAAUAUGCGUUUAAUGAUGUUGAGGUGGGCAUCUAGGCAGAUCUUAAACAGUCUUUUUCAAAAAAGAAAUUCCACUAGGAGUAGUAGAUAAUAUAUAUUAUCAUGUUUUCUUGAAAAAUAUGGCAGAGUUUAUUUAUUUUAAAUAAUUUAAAAUGUAAGAAAUUUAAUACAGUUUUUAACGUUCUCCAGAAUACGCUCCUGGCUUUGCUCCGAAGGAUUAAUUGCAGAAUUUCACGUGAGCUUGUUUCAUCAAUAAGCAGGGACUCAGUGUUCCUCUCUUAAGAAAACAUCUAGAUCAGACUGUAUACUAUCUUAGUCUACAAUAAAAGCUAGUUGACUAAAAGUUAUUCGGUCAUAAUAGUUGACAUCUAGAUCUAUGCAGCACAAUUUAAGUUUAUUAAUUAUUAUACAUUAAUAGCAUUUGGAAUACAAUAUAAGUGCAUUUCUUAAACUUCUAGUCAGACGCUAUGUUACAUAGAAACGGAAACGGAUACGUGGAAGCGGAAGCGUAAGGAAGUGCAGAAGCGAGAUUUUUUAAAAUAUUAGGAAGCGGAUACGUGUUGGAAGCGUAUAUCCAUAUAUAAAUAUAUAUAUAUAUAUAUAAAGAUUUUUAAAUCAGAUAGUAUUAUCAGUUAUCGAAUCGUCUAUGAAAUAUUUUUUCUAAUUAUAAUAUCCUAAUAAAUGAUCGUUAAAAAUUGAUUUUCCACUAUAUAUCGCUAGUCGUUGCAGUGAGUGAAAAAAAACUAUGGUUAUAUAUUGACAAUAUUUAUAUAUUAAAAGAACUAUUAAACAAUUUCAAAGUAGUUUUCAUAUAUUAUACUAUCGAGUUCCAACUUCCAAGUACUAUGAAUUACGAAAUAGAAAAGACUACGACCAUCUCCAAUGGUUUACUCUAUUUUUCUUCUAAAAUAGAGUAACUCUAUUUUUCCUCUAAAAUAGAGUAACUCUAUAAUAGAGUUGGAUGUUGCUCUAAUAGUACUCUAUUUUAGAAUGAAAAAUAGAGUGAUGAACAAAAAAAAAAACUCUAUAUAUAGAAUAAAAAAUAGGUUUACACUAUUAUAGAGUAUAAAAUAGAGUACUAGUCGAGUAUUUUUACUUUAAAUUCUAUUUUAGAGGAAAAAAUAGAGUGGAGUUAGAGAUGCCCUAAACCACCGGAAACAUGGUCACCGUGGAUGUAAAUCUCAUAUAGUGGGGUGUGGUUCAUGAAACAUGGACUAUGCCUAUAAAACUUUGUAUAUGUUAAUGAAAUUUUUAUUAUAACGUAGACACAGAAAAUGUAAGGGCAAAGACUAACAGCCAACACCAAAAUGGCCAUAAAUCUUGGAGGAAAACGUGGUGAGUUCACGAUGCAUAUUUACUUUGGGCGUAUUUGGUUGUCUUUAUAUUAUCUGUAAAUACUACUUAAAAAGUAAAGAGAAUCAUUCCAACGACAAUAAUAUGAUUAGUCUACUUUGUUAGUGUGAUGAUAGAUGUUCACGUUAUCCGAUUUAAACAUCUUAACAAUUAUGGCUAAUAAUGGUGUUGUGCCUAUAGGGAGGCGUUAAUCAAAGCAUCCAAAGAUAGAUUUAACUUGAAAAUAAAAAUGAUUGAUAGGUAGGUCCAAUACUGAGCAUACCAUAUUUCCCAAAAUUAUGCAGGUGACACGAACAUGUAACAUGAGAUGUCGCUUUCCGGACAAAAAUAUAUCUCCCCCUGCGGUAAUAAUUUAAUUUACCCGUUCAUGAAUCUCCUAUAUAUUAUUUGAGAAGCAUUACAACUUUUUUUGUAGCCACGUGUCAUCACUAAAAUGAUUCUUAGAAUCCUUAGAGAAACAUGUUGGUCCAGCUAAAUAUAUAAUAAGCUUUUUAUUAAACCACAAUAAAUACAUUAUUAAUGUGAUUCAUUAUUUCCUUAAAUAAAAUUACGGAAUUGCCUAAUGUGGCUAAAGUAUAUAUGACAAUUAAUGAUUUUGAAUAAUAAAAAUUUGAUAAAAAUAAGUGUGUAUUAUAAUUAUAUUUGUUUAAUUUUAAGCUAUUAAAAUAAAUUAAACAAUCAUAGUAACCAUAUAAUAAAAAUUAAAAAAUUUCUUUAUAUAUUAUAUUUUGAAUUUUUAAAAAUGAGUAUAAAUUACUAAAACUGUUAAAAGUUUCAAAUUUUGUGAUCUAUGAUUUCAAAAUUUUGUUAUGACAUGAUACAAAUAAUUAAAAAUAAUAUAAGUUGAAAGUCUCAUUUAAUAAGUAUCAAAAAUAAAAGAUAUAUAAAUAUAUGUAUCAUUUUAAAUUAAACUAUAUGCCAUAUAAAAGUACAUAAAUAUUUUAAUUUUGAAAUUUACUUUGAGCAUUUUUUUGAUAAAAAUUUUGAAAAAAUAUUGACAACUUAAUUUUUUAAAAUAUUAUAAAUUACUUAAGCCAUUAAUCCCACAGUGAAAAUUUUGUUAUCACUAAUUUAGACUUUUUGCUAUAACAUAUACAAAUGAUAAAAAAAUAUGAGCAAAAAGCAUCAUCCAAUAAAAAUUAAUAUUAAAAUAUACCAUAUAAAUGUUACUAUCAAUUAAAUUUAAUUAUACAUCAUAUCAAAUAGAAAAAAUAUUUUUUUGAUUUAUAAAAUUUAUUUAUAUGUUCGCACCAAUUUAAUUAUAUAAGUAGUAAAUAAUGACUUUUUAAUUAUUCAAUAUAUAUUUUCAUAAUAUGUUAUAAAUAUAUAAUAUAUAAAAUAAUUUAUAUAUAUAAUGUUCAUUCCGCGCAAGGCGCGGAUCUUAACCUAGUAUUAUGAUUAUUGUGGGAAUGGGUGGGGUUGGACCUAUUCGUGAAUCGAGUAGACACAGUAAAAAUAAAUUCUCGCGACAAACGGCGGGAAAAAUAUCCAACCGUAAUUUGUUCAACUGUUUGCUCUUUGAAACAUUUUUGUUUAACUGUUUAGAGAAUUUUUUUUAUUAAUAAAUGACAGAUUCAAAUUUAAAUUUAGUGCUUAUUACGGCAUGAAUGACAAAUAUUAUAGAGUUAUUUAGGUUUUAAAAUAUAUUUUUUUCUAAAAUAAGAAAUGUUUUAUCCAAAUGUUUACAGUCUUGAUGAUUAUGAUAAACAAAUCUCAUUUUUAUUUUUUUGUUAUAUAAAAUAUGUUAAAAUUAAUUGAUAUAAUAACAAAAUACUAGGUAAUAAUCCGCGCUGUGUGUAGAAUGAAGUAGUUUAUUAUAUUAUUUAUUGUAUGUUGUACUAAAUGAUUUGAUGUACAGCUUUUUCUAGAGAUGAACGUUUGUAUAUCUAUUCAAAUUCAGUUGAUUUAUUCGGAUUUCAUUUUUUAGAGUUAGAAAUUUAAAUUAUAUUCGGAUAUUUACAAAUUUUGGUUUGGAUUUGGUUAAAAUAUAUUGAGGGUUCGGUUCAAAUUCGAGUUCGGGUAUCCAUUUUAAUUAUGUAUUUUUUAACAAAAAUCUAAAUAUACUUAAAUCUUAUAAACUCAAAAAUAAAAUAAUAUAAAACAUAAAAAAUUGCAUAAUGUAAGACUAAAUAUUUAAAUUUACAUAAAAAUUAGGUCAAUUUAAAUAUUUGGAUAGAGAACAAAUAAGCAUUUUCAAUAUUUUGAAUAUAUUAUGUUACUUUUAUUUAUUUACUUGUGACUAUGUUGAUAAUUUUUAGAUAUUUUAUAUUUUUGGAUGUCUAAUAGAUAUAAAUUGUUUAAAAUAAUUAAAAUAUUUAAGUAUAUAAUUGUGAUUUAGAUAUUUUGGGUAUCCAAAAUAUUUUAGUUUGGAUAAUAUUCGGAUCUAGUUAUCUGGAUACUAAACUUUUAGUUUGUGUACUUAAUCAGUUUUAGUUUGUUUUAGUAUUAUGUUAAAUAUACUUCGGUUUGGUUCUUUGGAUCCAACUAUUUUACUCAGAUUUACUUUAUUCUAAUAAUAUAAAGCAAACUAAAUAAAUGUAAAACAAAUAGUCCGAGCUUAUUUAACAUACAUAAUUAUUGGACCAUACUUUAAGAAUACCAAUAAAAAUGGUUGGUCGUGUCAAUAUUGUUGGGCAUGUUACAUAAAAAAAAUCUUUGUAAAUAUAAUAAAAUACGAUACAAUCGAGUGAAAGUGUUAGAGUUGUAUGAAAAAUAAUGUGAUCUCUUCAGUCGGCACCUGAAUUAUGUUUUUCAAUCGAUUUCAUGAACUUUUUUCUUUUAACGCUUUUCUGAUUUCUAAAUUUUUUAAAGCAAUUAGAUUAUGUUUCUAAUUCUUGUUCUGAUAUAAAAACUUUGUAAAUAUUUGGCUAAACUAAAGAUCCGACUUUGUGGUAUUUUUUUACCUCAAUUUAUUCAAUUUAUAACCAAUCACACUUAUUUAUUGCAUAUUUUUUUACGAAACUUCAACCUUGACUAAGCUCGGCAUGAUACGAAACUUUCAAUUUCUAAAAGCGUUCUCAUUCCAGUAUUUUAGUUGAUGUGAAUUUUAAUGUUUUUGUAAUUUUUUUUCAAAAAUUAUAUUAUUCAGUAGUUGGAAGUAAAAAUGUUAAAAAUGCUGGAAGUAAAAAUGAACUGAUUAAAAAAACUUAGUGUGAACAUAUUAAAUUAUCUGCGAUAGAGUUAAAAAAUUAGUAUGUGAACGCCUUAAUUGUUAAGUGAUUGUGAGGCCGACACGUCAUCAUACUCAAAUUGAAAUCGAUGUGAGGCGGACACGUGUCCAAUGUAGUGUAAAUCAUUAAAUGACAAUACUUCUCUUCUAAUGUAUAGGAGAUAUGAGUAAUUUGAAAUCUUAACUCAUUUGCACUGAUAUCUAUUAUAAUUUACAUUUAUAACAAUUAACUAAAUACUUUCGCUAAAUUUUCAUUAAUUUCUAAUAUAUGUAAAGUAUAAAAAUAUGUUUUUAAACUCCAAAACAUAAAUAACUUAUCCAAAUUAUUUUUAAAACAAAUGUAAGAAUUAUACAUUUCAUUCUUAUAAUUAGAUACAUUGUAUUAAUGAAUUAUAUAUAUUAUCUUACUUAUUAUUUAUAUAUUAUUAGUGAUUACUAGACUUAUAUAACAAACUUUGAUAUUUUAUAAAUAUCUAGUUUGUUAAUUUAUUAUUUAAUCGUACGAAAGUUUUUAUAAAUUGCCCCAAAACUUGAAUUUGAAUGAAAAUAAAUACUCCAAAUUUAACCAAAUACAAAAAUAACUUAAAAUUCUAGUGAAAUUACAGUUAUCUUUUAGGAUUAAACAAAAAAAAAAACUGUGGAUAUUUUUGCGGUUAUAACCUUGAAAGUUCUUCUUGUGACAAUGAAGUUUUCUACGAGAAGGCUUCUCGAAAAGUCUACUCAUAUAUUUAAUAUUAAUAUUAAUUUAUUAAAUUCUGAAUAAAUAUUUUGAUGGAAAAUUAAUUGAAACCAUGUAAAUAUAAACAAUUUUAAAUUAUGAAUUUUAAUUUUAAAAAUUGUUUUUUUUUCAAAUAGAGGAGUGAAUAUAUAUUUUAAAUUAUGAAUGUCCAUUGGUUAAAGUUUGGUAACAUAUGUUUAAGUAUUGUUAUAUUUUUAGAAUUAGAUUUUGGAAUCUUAAUAUAUUUUUUGAAAUUGAAAUUUAACAUAUACAAUUUUAUUUUGUAUAUAUUAAAAAUUGUAUAUGUUUAUGUUAUGUGUAAAUGAAGUUUUUAUUGCUAUUUAAAUAAACUAUUUGAUUUAAGGGUUUAGGGAUAGAAAACUUCUUAAGAAGUCAGUUAAUUAUGCACUAACAGAUUUCUUUUGAAAUUAAAGAAGUCUUCUGAAACACCAUAUAUAAUUUUAUUUUGUAUAUAUUAAACAUUUUAUAUGUUUAUGUUAUGUUAAAUGAAGUUUUUAUUGCUAUUUAAUAAACUAUUUGAUUUAAGGGUUUAGGGGAUAGAAAACUUCUUAAGAAGUUAGUAAGUUUUGCACCAACAGAUUUCUUUAGAAACAUCAUGUAAAUAUGAGAUUAGGAGACUUCUUCUGAAAGAUGCUAAACCGUAAUGCACUAUUAGACUUCUUGAGAAGUCUACUAAACUUUAAUGUACUAUCAUAGUUUUUGAGGGUUUUUCUACACCAAAUUUUUCUCACACAAUUUAAGCUUUGUCUCUUUAAAUAAAAAAAAUUAAACAUUUUUAUAUUUAUCAUAAAUUGUUGCAACAAAAAUGUAAUGUUUCUUUCUCUAAAACUAUAUUACAUCUCUCUAAUCUUUUUGAACUUGAAAACAGUAAACUUUAUAUCAAUUUCUCAUCUUUUUGUCCAUAUCUUUCUCACCACUUUAUCUUUUCUUUGCGGGUUAUUUAUUCCAUGGCUUUCAUAUUCCCCUUUUAAAAAUGUAGAUCUAUAAAUUUUAGAUAUAUAUUUUUUUAUGUUUUAGUGUGUUAGAUCCUAAUAAAACUAUAAAUUCACCCAAAUGCGAUUGUUUAUUUACUAUUAAAGCACUAACAUUUGUUUUUUUUAAGUUUUACUAUGUUUUGAAUAUAUUUUUAACGUUUUUAGAAAUGCAUGGUUUUAGAUCUAUGGAAAAUAAUCAAACUUCAGACUUCAUCAGAAGAUUUCAUUAGAAAUCUGCUAGACUUUAAUGCACUAACAGAAUCAUCGAGAAGUUUUCUAUGCAAACUCUCAAAAUUGGUAAACUUUAAUUUUUCACUAAAUAUUUUUGUGUGUUAAAUCUAAAUAAAUUUAUAAAUUUAAUUUAAUGUGAUUUUUUUCUUAUUAUUUUAGCUUUAAAUUUUAUUUUUGUGAUUUAUCUUCUCUGUGGAAAAAUGAGAUAUAAUUUUUGUUCUCAUUAGCAUAAACAGUCUCGAUUAAGACUCUGCUAACCAAACAAGAGAUUUUAUGUCAUUAAAGACUAAAUAAGGUGGUAGACUACGAACACCACGUAUAAGAGUGUUUGCCCUUUUUUUUAGUCUCGGGAACGUGGAGAAUCUCAACUGAUGUGAAGCUGUCCUUCAGUAGUUGGAUUCCUUUCAGGUAUGUUGUAAACACAUGUCAUUCUUAUGAUUCUGAAACCAUAUUAACCAAUUGAAAACAAUAUUUUGCAAACAUGACAUGAAAUUGCUUAAUAUAUAUUAUGUUGCUAUAUAUGUAAGAUAUACAUUUUCUAAAUACAAUUUUUUAAAAUUUAAUAUAUUUAUUUUUUUAAAACAAAAUAAAAAAUAUAAAGUAUUAUUUUGUUAUUAUUUUAGUAUAUUUCAAAGCUAACAUAUGCAUUGACAAAAAAAACAGAUCUGAUUUUUUUUUUAAUUUCAUACCUAGAUCCAUUGAGAGUGCGCAUUUAGCUUCUUUAAGCUCUUAGAACUUCUGAAUGAAGGAUAUACUCUCAUUAUGGACCAAAUAUUAUCAAAUUUGAGUAAUUUUAAUAAAAAAAUAAAAUCUUGAAAUUCAAAAUUUUGAGUUUUAAGGACAAAAUGAUAUGCAAAUAAAAUAUUUAUAUAUGUAAGAAUUGAGAUAAGAAGAUGUAUAAAUUGUUUUUUUUUGUACAUGUAGAGAUCUUUUCGGUUAUUAUAGUCAAAAUAAAAAUUUAUAGAGAUAAAAUAUAUAAUGUUUAAAAUAAAAUAAUUUUUAUUUGGUGUGAUUCACAUUUAUUUUAUUUUAUUUUGAACAAAAUAAAUUAAACCACAUCUUUUAAUAUAUCUAUAAUUUUAAUAUCUAAGAAUUGAUGUAUUAAACUUUGUAUUUUGUUCCAUCUUUUUAUUAAGCUGUGUAUUUUUUAGAUCAAGUAACUUAGAUUUGAAAUCAAACAUUUCUUAUAAUUGUAGAUUGAAACGAUUCUAAAUAGCAUUCAAAGCAAUAUUAGCCAAUAAACAGUAUCAAAUUUAGACUUUAGAAACAGUGACAUAAAGAAAAAGUAAAAUAUCUUUUUACACAGAAAUAAAUCGAGCGGCGCAUAUGAAUACGAUGGAUCAUUUGGUUUAAAGAAAUUCCUACUUGUUUUGCAUUUCCAAACCGGAUAAUAAUCAGAGAAAUUGAAUAUUAACUAUUAAGAUCAUAAACUAAAUAGUUGGCAUCAUUAUAAUUUGUUAUUUUUUUGUCAUCAACUUAAAUAGACUCGAUUAAAACUCUUCUAACCAAGAAAUAGACUUAAUUUCAUUUUCUAAUUUUUUCAAUAUCCAUUUACUAGUUAUCCCAAAUAUCACAACAUAUAUAUAUAUAAAGGUAAAUCUUAAAUAAUAACUGUUUGAGAACCUUAAAUAAUAAUUAUGAAAAUUAUUCAUUUAUCAAUUAUCCAAAAUAGCACGACAAAUAAAUAUAUACUUCAUAGAGUCGGUACAAUAUUAUUGUUAUAUAGUAUUAAAACAGAUACUAGUUAACUAAUGACUCAGCUAAAAAAUUUCCUAUAUAUUAAAAAAAAAACAUUACAACAUUUGAAGUAGCCACAUAUCAUUACCACAACGAUUUUUGUAAUUCUUAAAGAAAAAGAUUGGACCAUCUAAAUAUAUAAUAAUUUUUUUAUUAAACUAAUCAUAAAUUAAUUAUUAAUGUUUUUCAUGAUUUACUUAAAUAAAAAUUACAGAAUUCCUUAAUGUAGUUAAAAUAUAUGUGAUAAUUAGUGAUUUGAAGAAUAAAAAUUUGAUAAAAAAAAUUAUUGUAUCCUUUAUCGUUUUUUAAUUUUAACUUAUUAAAAUAAAUUAAACAACCACACUAGCUUUGUAGUUUAAAUUUAAAUUUUUCCAUACAUGUUAUAUUUUUAAUUUUUAAAGACGACUAUAAUUAUUAAAACUAUUAAAAGUCUCACAUUAAAAAAAUUGUGAUCCAUUGUUUAAAAUUUAUGUCAUGACAAGAUACAAAUGAUUACAAAAUCAUAUAAGUAAGAAGUCUCAUUUAACAAAUAUUAAGUUGAUAUAUUAAUAUCGUUUAAGUUAAACUAUGUACUACCAUAUAAAGAUACAAAAAUAUUUUAAUUCUAAAAUUUGCUUUGAACAAUUUAUGUUUUGAUAAAGCUUUGAACAAAUAUUGACAAAUUAAUAUUUAAAUUUUAAUCUUUGCAUGCAUUGUACUUUUCGAAAAAAAUUAUAAAUUACUAAACUAUUAAACAUUUCACAAUGAAAAUUUUGUUAUUCGUGAUUCAAAAUUUUUGGUAUAAAAGAUACAAAUGAUUAAAAAACAAUAUGAAUAUAAUGUAUUAUUAAAUAGAUAUCUUUUUUUGUCGACAUUAUUUAUUAGAUAUCAUUAUUACAAAUAGACUAUAUAUAUGUGAAUAUCAUUUAAAUUAAUUAUAUACCAUAUAAAAUAGAAAAAAAUGUUUACUUGGUUUAAUAAAAUUUAUUUAUGUGUUCACACCAAUUUAAUUAUAUACAUAAUAGUCACUAAAUUUUUAAUUAUUUAAUUUAUUUUCAUUAAUGCAUUAUAAAUAAAAUAAUAUAUAAUAUAAUAAAAUAAUUUAUAUAUAAUGUUUAUUCUGCGCAAGGGUGGGUCUUAACCUAGUUACUAAAAAUAUGAUAAAUAAUAAAAAUAACCUAAAAUUAUGGAUUAGAUAAAAGUAAGCAAAAUCAAUUUUCAAAUAAUAUUAUAGAUAGAUACAAUUGAGUUCUAUUUAAAGAUUAUAAAAGUUGUUUAUCAAGUGAUAAAAUCUGCUUGUUCAUAUGGUAAAUGGAUUGUAAAACGAGAAUUCAGCCAAAAAAACACGAACUUUACACGAAUCGCCAAAAAAAUUCUGUAUUCGAGUCUGGCCAAACAAAUAUUGUACUUUUAUUGACUUUUUAAGUUUAUUAAGCAACUUAAGAUUGACUGGCCAUUUUAGCACACCGUGAACCCACAGUUAAAACACUGUUAAAUGUUGGCGUUAAGCGAAACGAUAUCGUUUUCAAAUGAGAUGAAACGACGUCGUUUCACAUGAUUUGAAAAUAAAAAGAAAUACACCCCUGGAUUCAAACUCGGGUUGAUUAGGACUAAUGGCAAGGUAUUUUAUCACUGGAUUAGUGGCACUUUCAAUUGAGUUACUAACACAUUUAGUUUUAUUUGGUACUGAUUGAAUGUAAAACAAUUCUCUAAAAACUUUAUAAAAUUAAUUUUGAAAUUAAAAUUAAAAGUAAAAUUUUAUUUGUUCUUUAAAAAAUCAAAAAUCUUCCAAAAAUUUCAUUUUUUUUUAAAUUCCAAAAAAAUUAAAAAAAUACCCACAUAUUACAAAAAAAACCCACAAAUUUAAAUUCCAAUUCCAAAAAAUUUAAAAAUUCAAAGAAAAUGAAAAAAAAUUAAAAUUACAAUUAUCAGCUAAAAAUUAAAAUCGCACUCAUAAUAGGUACAAUAUUUAUUUUAAGCAUUUUAAUUUAAUUUUAAUAUGUGGGUAUCUUUUUAUGUGUGUAUAAUUAAUUUCAAUUUUUAGCAAUUGUUUCAAAAAAAAUUGAAAAUUUUGGAAGAUUUUUGAUUUUUUUAAAGAAAAAAUAAAAAAUUUAUUUUACAUUUUUAUUUCAAAACUAAUUUUAGAAUUUUUUUUUUUUCAAUUUUUUGGAAUUUUAAAGAUCUUUUAAAGUUAAUAAAUUUUUUUUUAUAUUCAUUCAGUACCAAAUAAAAUUAAAUGUGUUAGUAACUCCAUUGAAAGUGUCACUAGCCGAGUGAUAAAAUACCUUUCAAUUUCUCCCAACCAACGUGAGUUCAAAUCCAAUUGUCUAUUUCUUUUUAUUUCACUUAAUGCUAACAAUAAACGAUGUCAAAUUUUUCUGGUCAAUUUGCUGACGGUGUGCUAAAUUGGCAAGUCAACGAAAACAUUGUUAAUUAAUUCUAAAGUUAAUGAAAAUUUUGUGUUUUUUUGGUCAGUUCAAAAAUUCAUGUUUUUUUUGAUAAUUCCUGCAAAGUUCGUACUUUUUUUGGCCGAAUUCUCAUUGUAAAACAAUUAUUUUUAGGCGGUUUGUAACCUUGUCUCAAUCCUAAACUAUAAGAGAGGGAAGUUUUUUGAUUAAAAUUUAAAAAAAAGAGAGGGAAGCUUUUCUACUUACUAUUCGUAACACUAACAGAAAAAAAAACUUAAUGACUUUCAUUUAUUGUUUACAAAAAAGGACUUAUUUCGUGAGACACCUAGCCUUGUCCUAUAAAUACACCCAUACGAUACUAUCAUCUCAUAUCAGUAACCAAAAAACAAAACUAAAACAUGGGGUUCUUGGGUAAGAGUGUAUUGGUGAGUCUCAUUGCACUUUGGUGCUUCACUUCCUCUGCCUUCACUGAAGAAGUGAACCAUGUGACUCAAACACCUUCCUCUGCUCCUGCUCCGGCUCCUUACCACCACGGCCACCACCACCCACACCCUCCCCAUCCCCACCAUCCUCACCCGCACCCUCCGGCAAAAGCCCCUGUUAAGCCACCGGUUUCUCCACCAGCUAAACCUCCGGUUAAGCCUCCAGUUUACCCUCCAGCCAAAGCCCCAGUCAAGCCCCCAACUAAGCCCCCUGUUAAACCACCAGUUUCUCCACCAGCCAAACCUCCGGUUAAGCCCCCGGUUUACCCUCCGACCAAAGCCCCGGUUAAGCCCCCAGUUAAACCUCCAGUUAAGCCACCAGUUUCACCACCAGCCAAGCCUCCGGUUAAGCCCCCUGUUUACCCUCCGACCAAAGCCCCUACUAAGCCCCCAACUAAACCCCCGGUUAAGCCUCCUGUCUCUCCUCCAGCCAAGCCACCGGUGAAGCCACCGGUUUACCCGCCGAAGUUUAACAGGAGCCUAGUCGCCGUUCAGGGUACGGUCUUCUGCAAAAGCUGCAAAUACGCUUCUUACGACUCGCUCACUGGCGCCAAACCAGUUGAAGGUUAGAAUCUUUUUAGUAUUUUGUUCAUAUUUCAUACGCAAAUACCUCAUUGAUAUACUAGUUCUGAACCGACCUAAACUUGCUGCUGCUCUGCAUAAGCAUUUAUUCAAUAGUUUACACGUAUAUUUGUACAACAAUACGUAUUUACAAGCUCUCAGAAAUACGUAUAUACUUGAUACCUAUCAUUACGCAAACUUCGAAAAAUAAUUCAAACCUCAAAACGUUUAAGUGGACCAUAGCUACGAGACUACAUGUUUCGAGAAAGAGGUAAAAAAUAAAUAAAGUGACUAUACUAUAUACACUCUUGCACUCUUCAGUCACUGUUUUACAGUCUGACCCAUAAAUUUUACGAACCCAAGAAAAAUAAUAAAAAAGCACUAAACUGUUUCCAUUAGUCCAAAACAAAAUCUAACGGAUAUUAUUAUUUCUUUAGGUGCAAAGGUGAGACUAGUUUGUAAGAGCAAGAAGAACAUAGUCGCAGAGACCGAGACAGACAAGAACGGAUACUUCUUGUUGUUGGCUCCGAAGACGGUGACCAACUUCGGUUUCAGAGGAUGUCGUGCGUAUCUUGUGAAAUCAAAGGACUACAAAUGCAAUAAAGUCUCCAAGCUCUUCGGUGGAGAUGUCGGCGCCGUACUCAAGCCGGUGAAAACGCCGGGAAAAUCUUCGGUGGUCAUUAACAAACUCACCUACGGUGUCUUUAACGUCGGUCCUUUUGCGUUCGACCCAGUAUGCCCCAAAUGAAGAUGAUUGAGAUGCUCUGGUUACUUUCUUGAAUACGUUAAGUUCAAAAGAGUGAAUUGGGAGAGAGCGAGUUAUGUGUUUCCGCGUUGCAAGUGUUAUCUUAGCUAGAUUUAAGUUAAAUGUUUGUGUUUUAUGAAUGUGGUCUUUUUAAUGAAUGUGUCCUUAAGUGACGUUUAAAGUUUCGUUUGAAUAAAAAUAGCCAUAUUCAAGAAGAUCAUCGGUUUUAUCUACUGUAGAGAAGAUCACUGUAAUGGGAUGAUAUCAUUUAAUGGUACAUUGAAUGCGUAAAGGAAAUGAAAGGCAUUUGUGUUUCGAAGCCUGUAUAAAUGGACGCAUGAUACUUAUUACAUUUACAAAUAUAGAUGGCAUCCAUCUCACCAAAAUUGUCAGUAUUAAAAUAAUGAAAAUUUUGAAAAGGAGAAAAAGAAACCUCUCAGUCUCAUAACAUAUUUAAAUUAUAUUAAUAUUAUAUACAAUAAAUAAAAUUUUGCCAAUAAGAAGAUGCUUUAACUAAGUCUUAUUUAGAACAGUAAAAAGACCGUCUUCUCUCUCAAGUCCCCUAGGGUUUUCAAAGUUCUGGCCGCCGCUUCUCGCCUCCGGUGGCUUCCAUAGCACCGGAGGUGAAUCUCUGUGUCUUAUUUUCGAUUUAGCAUAUCCGUGUCUUGCUCUUUUCUGCGUUUAAGAUCUUUCUUGGUCCGGGGUGGGUGAGUUCUUGUGCUUGGAGGCGAGUGGAGGCGUGUUUGAGAGUUUAUCCUUCGUGUGGUGGUGUUGAUUCGUCCGUGCUCUGGUCAGUAUUCGAUCGUCAUAGAUCUGGUUGGUUUGCUGGCUACUGGAUCUGCGUUUUCUUCCCCUCAGUGUCUGGUUACUUUUUGUGUUAGACUCUCUGUUCUCCAUUUUAGUCAAGAUUCUCUGUUUUGCCUUGCCUUUCUCAUCCAACGGAGAGGUUGAUUUCUCUGAAUCCUUAAUUGUCUCUUUGAUUUCUCUGGUCUCUUCUCAUCAUCAGUGCGACUGUGGUGUUUUGACGAGUGCGUGAGCAUACCAGGUUUAGCAUCUUUACUGUGAAGAAGUUGGUUGGUGUUACCUCUCCUUGUGAAGGAGUCAUCGCUACAUUUGAUUAAUAUAGUGUUAGUCGUUCCCGGUUUGUUUGAUUGACCUCAUAAUCCCUCUGUGGCUUCUUAUUGGAUGUUUGAAGCAGUAUAAUGAGGUUGGGGUUUGAUCCAUUCGGAUGAAGUUGUAGCUGUUGAGGGGUUUGUCCCAGGUGUUUUAGGUUCUUGACUCCGGGAGUCGAGGUUGGUGUGUGUGGUUGAUGCUAUUCGGCGUGGUUUUGUCUCUUCAUCGUGAAUAGGAAGUUCAGGUGAGUUUCGGCUCCGCUUUGGUCUAUCGCCUACUUGUUCGCUUGGCUAUCUUUGGUCUUUCAUUAGACCUAUGGUUAUGAAGGCCUCGACUAUUUUAUCUCUGAGCUUUGAAGGAUUGUAAGAAAGUCUUUAGUCGUAGAAAUUUGUGUUAGUCUCGUAAGUUAUGUUUAAGAUGCCUAUGUGUGGGCUUUAGUUUCCCUCCUAUGGGACAUGUUUCCGGGGAUUUCAUUGUGUUCCGCCGGCUUAUGUAUUACAAACUUGGAUUUUAAUAUAAAUCGAUUGACGGGAAAAAAAAAAAAGAAGAUGCUUUAACUAUGGAAAUAUACCAUGGGAAAUAUAUCAUUGCAAUUUGAACAAAAAAAAAAAAUCAUUGCAAAGAACGAGUAGCUUUUUUUUGGUAGGAGCAAAGAACGAGUAGCUUGUACUAGUAUUUUUGAAUUUCUAUUUUCCUAAUACUUGAUCAAAUUAAAAUGUUUUAUAGUUACGCUGCAGACAAAAACAGAUGAUUACAAAGAAUGGUAAUAAUGACGAAAGGAAGGGAGAAUCAUCGAAUAGGGUUUUCUACUUUCUAGUGGGUUCUUGGAUUCGGAGAAAAAUCAGCUGUGAAAUUGUCGGCCACGUGUCUGACAUAAUUUCCCAUCACAUCUCAAAGUUCAAAAAAGACAAGUUAAUUUCAAGAUAACAAACAAAAAAAAAAAUUUAAGUCGAUCGCUCGUUGAAAUUGAAGUGAUUGACAAGAAGAAAGGGUCUAUGGGCCAGUGGCGCGACGAUCUAGUGAUGCACUUUCACAGUGACCAAUAAUUUUCAGUAUGUUUUCUUGUGCCUUUUUAAAUUGAUGGACGAAAGAUUAUACUACCAUAUUACCAUGUUUUUGUUUGAGAGUUUUUUCAUAGGCCUCUAUCUUAGAUGAUCUUUAGGGCCUUUACCCUUUUAUAACAAGGUCUCAAAUGUCUAUUUUAUUGCUCGUCAUUUGAAAAAAUUGCCAACAAACGAAGUAAACAUCCAGUAUUUAGAUUUUUAUACUCUAAUCAAACUGAAAAUUUUCAGACAUAAACUAUAUUGAACCACAGUAGUUCAGUUUGUUGGAAACCGAUCAAAAUGUUCAAGGAGCUCAAGUAAAAUAAAUGUUUUCAGGAAGAGAGUAAGCUUGGGAAGCUUAUAAGGUUUUGAAAGGGUUUCUACUUUAGCUCAUAGCAUGAAGCCUGCUCAACAUGUGGUUCUCGUAAAGAAGCUAACCGGAUUAUUAGACGUUGGUUUAGGGCUUUAGAUUCCGGUUCAACGGAAUUAUUUUGUUGUUUCUUAGAAGGAAUUUUAUGGUGGUGGUGAACAGACUCCCUGCACCAGUAUCAUGAUUGAGAAUUGAGAUUUGUAUGACAGCUGCUUAUGUCCUAAUUCGUCUAUGUUAGUAUCAAAUUUCUAAAAGAAAAUAAAAAUUAGGUGAUUGUUUUUGUCUUUCGGUACGUGGGAUACACGGCCCAACUUUGUCGGAUAUAUUUCUUAACUCACACUGAGCUUGACUGGUAAGAAGUAUAUAAUAAAAUUAACUUAUAUCGGCUUUAAGAUUAUUAGCCCAAUGAAUUUGAGCCCAAGCCUUUUGGACUGUAUAUGAAAGCGUAUACGGUAUACCUACAAAAUCACAGCCCUAACUUGUAUUUUACUUCGUCAACCCAAUAAACCCAAUGAUUAGAUUUUAUUUUUAACUCAAAAAUUCAUUUCAUUCCGAUACAAAGUGAAAUACAUAAACCGGCGGAACAUGAAUAAAUUUCUGGAAACAAUAGCCUAAAAAAAAAGAAGACAUGAUACUAACCUAAACAACCGAUAAAUUUUAAAACAGUAGAUAAGUAAUAUAUAGAGACAAUGAAACUAUAGCUGAGACUGAUGAUCAAAUAAUUACUAAUCAUCUCUCUAUAGAACACGGUAACACUAAAGCUGGACUAAGGAGCAAAACUCUUGAGCGAUCUAAACCCUGAAGGGAACAUCACCAAGCCAAACUAGAACAUCAACAUCAUAAACAAUCGUGAGGUCAAAUCUACAUCAACUCCAGCAGCUACUAUCCAUCUGAAACUUGCAUGACCAAAAUCCCUCACUAAAACUAAAGUACAAGGACCAAAAAACUUGAAACGCCACUUGAAAAUAUGUUAUAAAGACCACACCAGCUCUUACACGCGGACACUCGCAAGACGGCCAAAUGACCUACAGAACAAAGACGGUCCACCUCCUCGCAAGAGAAGAACUGAAAAACAAGUCAACUACUUCGUCUAAAAACCAUAUCCCAUAUCCACAGAGGACCAAGAAAAGAUCUAGUAGAUACCUCCACAUCAAACACAAAUCACAAAGACGAAUCCAAAUAACGAGCUUAGGUUGAGAUGAAGAGACCAUGACAGCAAGAACCGAACAUAAGCAGCAGUCCCACGACUUCAAGCUACUACACCCUUGUCACAAAAUACCUUCACCCACGUUAACGACACCAAGAGAAGGGAACAAAUCCCACCGUCAAUCAAAUAGAUCCGGAUCUCCGGGUUCAACAGAGGGAAGAAACAGUCAGAUCUAAAACCAUGCACCUUGCCGGUAUCUGAGAUACUUCAAAUAUACUGUUCAAACCAUCAAGAGUAUAAACCCAAGCAAAAAUCGCAUACACAAAGACAGAACAGACAAGAAGGAAAGGAGGAGAGACCGACUCUGAUGCUGAUGGAGCCAUCGAAGCCGGUCUCUGCAGUACGUCAGAUACUUGCUCGCGAUGGCUAGGGUUUCUAAGACUUAGACUAGCCUUUCUUCUUUGUUUGUGUUUUCUUAAACCCAAUGAUUAAAUUAGUUAUUUUCUUUUUGUUGAUUAGAUUUUGUUUUGUCAACAUUCAUUUUAUUUCAUUAUAGCCUUUAAGGCUUAGAAAUACAAGUGGAAAGUCAAACCCAUUACACAAAUUAAUUAAACCCACAUAAAACCCAAACAUAAAGAUAGAUAUAUGCAUUGAACAACAUGUGUCCCUACGUGGUUUUCGACGUGUCCUUAAAUGGGGAAGGGUUUGGAUCCUUGCCGGAACAAGGACUUGGAUCCUUGCCGGAACAAAGACCGACUAGACAUCGCCGGAACAAAGGCCACUUAAACUCUAGAGAUUUGUUAAGAGACAAUCAUAGAGCUAGAGAUCCAUCCCUAAUUUAAUUCCACUUACGUGCUUUUUUUUCCCUAAAAUGUCUAUGUCAUCAUCGAAAGUUUCAUUCUUUUCGCCAGAUGUGUAACCGCAAAAAAACUUGAAAUGAUUCGUUAUUAGUCUUUGUUGAAACACUUGCAUAUAACAAGCUUCUACUCUUUUUAAACUGAAACAAAUCGUUAAGAAAAACUUGGAAAACUCAAUCUUCAUCUUGUAAGAACACUUUGCUUAGAUAACAUAAUAGCAAAGGUUGAUAUCAUUGGAGGAUAACCUAGGAGAAGAAGAACUCCAAAGAAAACAGUCAGGAUAAAUCAAUUUUUGUGAGGGAAGAAGCUCGGCCAAAUGCGAUCAUCAAGAUCAUAAUUUUAUUUAUCCAAUCAAUCCAAGAAAAUAAAUAAGAAACUGAAGAUUUGCUCAGAAAUUGAUUGAAACACCACAUCAAAAAUUGCCUAAGCAAAGAGACAAUCGCCUAACGCGAAGACAAGAUCGAUCUAAGAUCGAAAUAUAAACAUCAAAAAACAAAAUUAUCUUUAUCUCCUUCUGCUUCUAAAAACUGAUUUUCAAAAUGUUUUACUCAUAUUAAAAAAAUACAAUUAAAUUUAUAAUUUAUUGUAUUAUAUAUGUUUUAAUAAUUAUUAAACAAUAAUAUUUAAUAAAUUCAAAUAUUCCAGUUAAUAUUUUUAAAAUAUAUAAUUUAUCUAUAUCGAUAUAUAAAGUGACCAAAAUUUUAAAAAUUAAUAUUUGUAAAACAAAAAAAUGUCUAGUAAAUAUACUUUUUGGAAACUAUACUUCCUAAUUCAUGUAGAUAUAUAAUUUAAUUUUUUGUUGGCCCUCUUUUUAUGCUUCUUCUCUCUUCUAAAAUCUAAAAGUUUCAUCGCCCUCAUUGGUCAGCUCUGGUGGCUUAGACAACAUAGGAGCAGAUCCUUUCGUUCUAUGCUUGUAAUUAGUUUUUGUAAUUUUUCCUUCUUCAUCUUUUCUCUGCAUCAUACUGAUUUAAAGUUUUUUGUUUUUUUUUCAGAGCUGGGUUUAUCAAUCGAUUUACUUUCAGAUGGUGUCGAUCUUGUCUAGUCAGCUGCACGGUUUAUGUUUUAUCUAUCUUGCACAUCUGUUGCUUGGUCUAUGAUUCAGAGUAGUUGUGCCAUGCCAGUACUUGGUUAAUUCUAGGCCUGUUCUUUACUUGUCUCUACGUCAAUAACGGUGAUAGCGUUGUCUUAGUAUUGGCGUGGUAGUGUGUUGUGAGCAGAAAAAGUCUAACAUCAUGUAGAAGAAAUUGGUUUCCUGACAUUUCUCCAUCUCCAGUUUGGAAGGAGCCAUGCUCUCAGUCUUUUAAUAAGUGAUCCUCCCAAUUUAUUUUCAUCCUCUCUUGUUUCUAGUCCUCAGUUCUUGGCAUCGUUCCCUCUCUUUUGUGCUCUCAAUGCAUGAUUGCCAGCUGAUCAAAGAUUUGUGAUUUCUUUCUAUUAUCUUCAUCAAGUAGUGUUUAUGGCUUUUAUUUGAAGAUCUUUAGCUAUCGUUUUAGUUUUUGGUUUAGUCCUAGUCUCUUUUGUUUGGGAGUACGUUUUCCUUUUUUGGGCUAUGUUUCCAGAGAUUUCACUGUGUUCAUGUACGUGGCUUUUGUAUCUUUGUUUUUCUCCUGUUAUCAAUUAAAUUGAGAUGACCAAAGCAAAACCUAAUUUAAACUUAAGAUAAUAAAGAUCACUUCGAGUAUUUACUAUAUUGACCAAAAGGUCCCAUUAAUGUCUUAAUCUUCUAAAAUAUCAUUGGUUAUUUGAGUUCAACAUUUUCCACUCAGGAAAUUAAAUGUUCUUUGGGAAAUUACAUACUUUCGUUGUUAGAGAGUUUAGUCACUACCUGUAACAUUUAUUGGGCGAGACUGAAACCAUAGGCAAUGAUGAUGAGCCACACAACGAGUGUAGAAAGUAAUUGGCUCUCUACCAACAAAACAAGAAAAUAGCUACCACGAGAAAAGUUUUUCGUCAAUGCUCGACUUCUUUUUCCAUCUGACGACGGCGAGUGUGAUUUACCCUCCAGUUGAGCGCGUGACAAUUUGAAGAGAGUAGAACAUAAAAAAGACUAAUAAAGAGUCAAUAGAGCCCACGGAAACAUUUUCUCUUACCGAACCAAAACACAAUCCUCUCUCUCUCUUCUCUAAUCUUCCUCUCUAUCAUCUCUUCAAUGGAGAGAUACAAAGAUGCUUCAAUGAAUCUGAUUCCAUCUCCUCGAUGCCACAACAACAACAACAGCUGCAGUAUGAGCAGCAGCACUGAGAGCAACAACAAACCACCCACAACUCCGACCCGACAGGUAACCACUAGAUCCGAAUCCGGAAACCCAUACCCAACCACUUUCGUCCAAGCCGACACUUCUUCCUUCAAACAAGUCGUCCAGAUGCUAACCGGAUCCUCAGACAGACCCAAACAACACAACACCUCCUCUCUCAAACCCAACCCGACCCAUCAACCCGACCCGAGAUCCUCUCCUUCCCAAUUCUCAAUCCCUCCAAUCAAAGCCGUAAACAAGAAACAGUCUUCCUCCUCCUCCUCAGGGUUCCGUCUCUACGAGCGCCGUAACUCGAUGAAGAAUCUCAAAAUCAACCCGCUAAACCCGGUUUUCAACCCGGUUAACUCAGCCUUCUCGCCCCGGAAACCCGAGAUCCUCUCUCCAAGCAUCCUCGAUUUCCCGUCUCUCGUUUUGAGCCCCGUCACUCCUCUUAUACCCGACCCGUUUAAUCGAUCCGGGUCAUCGAGUCAGAGCCCCGACGAGGCCGAGGAGAAGGCUAUGAAAGAGAGAGGCUUUUAUUUGCAUCCGUCUCCGGCGACAACUCCGAUGGACUCAGAGCCUCGUCUUCUUCCUCUGUUUCCGGUGACUUCUCCUCGGGUCUCAGGUUCUUCCACAGAUUCUAGUUCUUGAAUGAAUGAAACCAACUCUAAUUUUUUCUUUUUAAAGAAUAUCAUUUCCUUUGUGAUUUUUAAAUUAUAUAUUAUAAUGGGAAUUGAAAUGAAUCCUGAUGAGACUUGUGUUAUAUAUGAGAGAUGAUUGUAAUGCUCAGAUGAGAUGUUUGCCGAAGCCAACUGCGAUUUGAAAUUGUAUUAAUCUCUAUAAAGGUGUUUAUUGGUUUCAUUGCUCAUAUUUGACUAGUUUCAGAUCAUUUUUGUUUAGUUUAGUCUCCAUAAUUACAAAUUUACAGUUACUGAAAAAUAACGAUUAAGAGAUUUGAAUGAGUAGAAUAUGAAAACUAGAUUAGUUGUGGAAUUUGUUUCUGUUCUAAAGAUUCUAGUGAUUUUUUGUUCACUGUCAAUCCUGAAGUUCUACUGAGUUAAUGGGGUGUAAGUUUUAAUUUAUGGAAUGAAGUAGUAGUUUGAUAAAAAAAAAAUAGGAUACACAACUUGUUGCAUUCUCCCAAAAUUUGUUUUUAGUACACAAGUGAAGAAGAGAUUGGUCUGAUAGAGAAACCAGAUUGGUCCAGCUUUCUUUUGCUAAAGGAUUUGAUGAUGAAAUAACCAUAGUAACAAUGGAAAAGGAGUUUAAAAAAUAAAAUAAAAGUUUAAUUUUUAAAUUUUUUUCUCCCUUCUUUACGCCUUAGAAAAAGUGAAAACAAAUUGAAAAAGCAAAGUGUUCAGAAAAAAAAUGAAAAACGAAUAAAAGAGUAAAUUGGAUAGAAAGAGUGGGGCUUAGCUGUCUAAAAAAGAGGAUAUUAAAUUAGGGAGUAAGGAAUCUUUUGACUAUCUUUUUUCUUCUCCUUUGUUUUCUUUUAUUUCAUUUUCAUAAUGUGAUUGGGUUUUGUGAUAUGUAAGACCCCAUUUUACCUAUAUUGUCAGCCUAAUGAUAACAAUUAUAGAUGUUUCCAACCGUCUUAUACGAUAAUUACUGGCUUCUGUAUAUAGUCUGUUUACAGUUUGAAACACUAAAGUACAAAUUACUUUUGGUCAUUGUUUGGAGAUAAUAUCUUGGGUCAAAAAGUCAUAGUUAAAAGUCAUUUUCAAAUAUAAUUGAAAGUGGACUAAGGCAUAUGGAUCGAGAGGUAAUGGGCAUAUUUGCAAAAUGCCCCAUCUAAUUAUUUUAACUGAUAUUUUAAUUCUGCCUUGAAUAUUUCUUGGUCAAAGGUUUUGGUUUAGAAAAGAAGAAAAAGAAUAAGGCUUGUUAGAAACUUUCAAAUUUAGGUGUUUUAAUUGGUAGCACAAAAGGGACGUGGUCUACCGUAGCAAUUAAUUAGUUAAUAGUUUCAUUAAAUGGUCUUUAGACCAAAUUAAAUUAAACUUGACUCGAUCUCUUAGCAUGUGGUGGACCGUAUCUAUCUCUUUCCUUUGAAAAUUCUCAUGUGAAGAGAGUUGAUGAUGAGGGCCCUACUUCCACUAUUAGUGGUGCCACUGAGAGCGAUUGCGGUUGACCCAUUUACAAAUUUUCUUUCCUUUAUAAGAAAUAAAAGUAUUUCUCUUUUUUUUUUCACGUCGCACUAUAUUUUAAUAAAAAACAAUUUUGUUCGAUAUUCUAUUGUUAAUCUUACUCAGUAGAAUCUUUUUUUGUUAACUCUCACUAGAAUCUAAUCCUUUUUUGUGCGAUGAUAUAUCAAGAUUUAGAUGCCAAGUGUUUCUUUUUUUAUAUGUAGAAAUAAUAAUUCGAAUUGGUAGAUUCUAAACAACAACAGAAGGAGAGGAAACACCUUGUACACUGUGUAAAAUCUAAUUUACUAGUUAUCAAAAAGUUAAUCAUUUUGUGGGUUUGAAAUAAAGCAAAGCAAUAAAAGUCAAAAAGUAAUGGAGAUGUGGUGCGAAUAGCAAUAAUGUUUCAAAGUUAGGUUCUCUUUUUUUUUUAAUUGAUUUAAUGACUUUGGAAAAAGACCAUACAGUGCUGAAUGAAGUAGUAGUGCAGGUGGGUUUUGACGUCUUGUAACCAUGAAUGAACCUACACAUUUCCUCAGACAAACAAACAGAAAAUACAGCAAGAAAAUUAGCCAGAACACAGGAUGGGCCUAAUAUCAGACAUUGUCAAGGGCUCUCUAUAAGUUUGUUUAUAUGCAACUAAUUAAAUUUAUGCAAUUCAAAAACCAAUUCGUAUGGGUAAAAAGUUAUAAACGCGGUAAGUGCGGUUAGUUCUGGAUCUUUUAAAGAUGCUUUCAUUUUUGUAAGCCUUGCGUUUUUCAAUUCAAAGUUAAUGGCUGAUAAAAAUAGUUGGAGUGCUUUAUCCUCCCUCAUUUUCAAUAAUAUUUUAACCCUACGUUCUUUGAAAUACCAUGUAAGUGAAUAAUAAGUACUAAUGCUAUCCAAAAUAAAGUUUUGAAGUUUUGAUUGGGUUUGAUAUGAAUAUGAUUUAAGAUAUUACAUUAAACCUCAUUAAUAUUUGAAGGUGCAGAUUUGUUUGGGCUUUAACUUGGGUUUUCUUCUAUCCCAAAUCAACUUUCAUUUGAGAUCCCAAUUAAACCCCAACAUUUUUUUCAUUUGAUUGUCACGUUACUGUGACAAAAAUUCCUGUUCUGAUAUGAAAUUAUAGAAGCAAUUAAUUCUGUGAAAGUUCUAGAUUUUCAUAACUACUUUCAUGAUUUCGGUUAAAUGAUUGAAAGUUUUACAUCAAUAAUAUGUAAACAGAUGUGACUACUCCUGUUGAUUUUAGGUUGGAAAGCUUAUGAAAAAUCUGGAUUUAACAAUUUUAAAAUUUCAUGUGGAUUGAUCCAAAAAUCUUACUCUCGAUUAGGAAAUUUAGGCAUAAACCCCUGUAUUAUUAUCCAGGUCUGAAAACACGAUGUGCAAGCGAUUACACAGCAAUGAAAUGCUCGGCGGUGAACAACCGUGGUGAUUUCACUAUACUCGACUAACAAAUUAAUUUCAUUAAAAUAAUUCAUUUUUUUUUUUGAAUGAUUGCAAUCGAAUAUUAUAUAUCUGAUCUAAAUAUUUGAUGAAAAAACAAUAAGAAAAGGCAAAAAUAUAGUUGUUGAUGAAGAAACUCGGAUGACAGCCAAGGAAAAAUUGCAGGAAACUUAAAAGUUGUCUAAAUAACGAUUUAAUUACGAUUAUCAUUAAUGAAAACACUUCUCCGUAGGCGAACACAAGACAUACUGACUAAUACUAGGUAAAUACCAGUCUACGCCGCAUAAGAUAUUUAUAUAAUUUUAUAUAAAAUUUAUAUUUACUUAGAUAAAUAAUUUUUACAAUUUCUUGAUAAUAUUAAAAUAUUUGUUUUAAAAUAUGUGAUUAGUAAAUAUUAAUAGACUUUGGUUUUGAUUUUAAACUUUGAGAGAAUUUUAAAGAUUCUGAUGAGCAACUUUUGUCUCCUUCUAAUUUCAUAGUAUUUCUAAAAAAUUUAGAAGUUUUGUUUGUAAGUAUAGUUUUGUUUUUGUUUACUAUGAAGUUUGCUCAAAUUUAUUUCUAUGUUAAUACUAUAUUUGUGUGCUGGUAGAAAUACAUUGUAAAAAUCAGUUCUUCACAUAACUUUUUAUUUUAUUUAAUUAAUUUAAAUAGAAGUAAAAUUCUUAUUAGUUAGAUAUCAAAAAAAGUUUAAAUUUCUAUUAAUUAUUUUGUUUAUAUAAUACUGAUGUAGCCUUGAAUACAAGUCAUAUUUCUUCUAUGUAUUCGUUGCUAUUUUCCGUAAGUUCAUUUUGUGGAGUAUCCUUCCAAAUUAACACCCUUUUUUUUAAUCUUCAAGCUGUAUUUGAUGAGGAAAGUUUAUUUGGUUUCUAGUUGUUCAAUGCUGAUACUAUUUCUCUGCAAUGUUUGGUGCUAAAUGAGUUUUUCCCCUUUAAUUGUGUGUUUUUUUGUUGUUAGUGAGAUACCAUUUUAUCUAUCCAAUAUGUUAUUUGAUUCCGAUGCAAGUCUGUGCUAUUUCAUAACUGAUAGUUUUGUGCUAAUGUUUCCUGAGUAAUGUUUAUUUUUAAGAAAUUGAAAGAAAAUUAUAUUGUUAUGUAGAUCAGUGUGUUUGGACUGUUGUGGACAUUUAACCUUCUACACAAAAUUAAACUAUUUUGCUGUCUAAGCAUAGAAAGAAAACAACUUUUCAUCAAUUGAGCGGGACACAUGUUAUAGUGCACGACCCUUUGUGAAAAUUGUCCAUCUAUUCUCGCACACUUUCUUGUAAUUUGCAAGACAAAACUGAAUCAAAUUUUCUUCAGAAAAAAAUACACUGUUUUAACGGGGACUUCUGUUCUGCUAGGACUUAAAUCAGAUUUCAGAGAUACUAGGGGGGGGGGGGGGUGUCUGCGCUACGAGCGGGAUUGUUGAUAAUUAUUUUUUCAUGAAAAAAUGUUUGUAUUUUAUUUUUAUGUGUGUAAUGUUAAAGCCAUUUGUAUUAAAGGUGGUAUAGUACACUAGUAACUGUUACAAUUAGGAAUUCACUAAAUUGGUUUUAAAAAGUCAAAAAAUCAUAUCUAAAUAAUAUUAUUUUUAAAAUAUGUUAAAUGUUAAAUCAUAUGUAAAUAUGUUAAAUGUUAAAUCAUAUGCAAAUCGAAGAAUGGAUCGUUAAUAAUAUAAUAUGAUAUAUCAAUAUGGUCUUUUUAGUAUUUUUUUUGUCCAAAACCUAGCAAUUAUUGGUUACAAUAUCACAAUAGCUAUGUUUUCUAUUUUAUGUCAAUAAGUUUACUAAGUAAAUUCACUCUAGUAUUAUUUUAAAUUUAUUAUUUGGACAACGAAAAUCUGGGGCAAACAUAUGUUUUUGUUUUUUAUUUUUAUUUUAGCUACGAGCGGGAUUGUUGAUAAUUAUUUUUUCAUGAAAAAAUGUUUGUAUUUUAUUUUUAUGUGUGUAAUGUUAAAGCCAUUUGUAUUAAAGGUGGUAUAGUACACUAGUAACUGUUACAAUUAGGAAUUCACUAAAUUGGUUUUAAAAAGUCAAAAAAUCAUAUCUAAAUAAUAUUAUUUUUAAAAUAUGUUAAAUGUUAAAUCAUAUGCAAAUCGAAGAAUGGAUCGUUAAUAAUAUAAUAUGAUAUAUCAAUAUGGUCUUUUUAGUAUUUUUUUGUCCAAAACCUAGCAAUUAUUGGUUACAAUAUCACAAUAGCUAUGUUUUCUAUUUUAUGUCAAUAAGUUUACUAAGUAAAUUCACUCUAGUAUUAUUUUAAAUUUAUUAUUUGGACAACGAAAAUCUGGGGCAAACAUAUGUUUUUGUUUUUUAUUUUUAUUUUAGAAUUGUUGUCCUUUUUAUAUGUCAUAUUUUGCUAUGGUCACUUAUAAUAUAAUAUUAUAUGCUUUAUAAAAUUUAGUCGAAUGUUAAAUAUAAUGCAAACAAAAGAAUGUUUAGUUAAUAAAAUAAUAUGAUAUAUUAAUAUGGUGUAUUUUUUUAUUAUCUUUCGUUAAAAUCUAGUCAAUUAUGGGUUAUAAUAUCACAAUAGAUAUGUUUGUGAAUAUCUUGUAUAUUGUAUAUCUUUAUAUAGAAAAUAUUGUAUACUGGAAUUUUUAUUCAUCACGGUAAGCUGUCGAAUCUUGUAUAUUCGCUUGUGAAUAGAUUGUAUAUUGGAUAUCUUUAGUAUAAAUUCAAACCAAUAUAUUGUAUGUGGUUUGGUUUGUUAAAUUGUAUAGUAUUGUACACAGUAAGCAACAUGUAUUGUAUAGUUUUUAAUUUUUUUAAGUGAAUUUUCUUGAGGAACAGGUGUCAGAAUUCUCCCAUGACACUUGUAAGAAAAAUGGAAAAAGUCUAUUUUACAUAUAAAGAUUGCAUUACAUGUUAAACAAGCACUUGCAACCGUUUUUCUUAACAUGCUUUCACAUCAUCACCACAUCAAUAAUCAGGAGAAAAUGGUUUCCAUGAGAGUAAGUUUUACCAUUUCUGAAGGGUUUAACGAUCCCUUAACAAGGUUUUAAAUUUUUUAUGAAAUACAGAUAUAUACUUGUCCACCUUGAUCUUAACUUUAUGCUGAAAACCACAUAGAAAGUAAGAACAACAAAAACGAAAUAAAGUGAAUCAAAAAUUGUUUGCUUCCUGCAACUUUUAUGAGUUUGCUCUUAUAUUCCUUGAAACACUCAACUUGAUGAUACAAUGGAAUUGCGUGCUGCAAAGAAAAAAAUAGUAUAUACAAAAAAAAAAAAGAGAUCAAAAAAAUAAUGUAACAAAUCAUGGUGACCUGUCACAAACUGUGACACAAAUGCAGUGCCACAUUGAAAAACACAUCAAGAACAAGAUCUCCAUGAUCAGGUUGCUGGGAAGAGAAGGACAUGAAGACAAUACGAGUAGAUGGUUGAAAGCUCGAUAACAUAUUCUUUCAGAAGCUUUUGUUAAUCUAGAUUACAAAUAGAAAACAUAAUGCAUUCAUUGUAAAAAGGUUUUUGAGUUGAAUAAAUUUAACAUUCAUUCAAAAAAAAAAGAAUGUAAAAAAGAAAAAGAACAGUCACUCACAAUGAUAAGAGAGCUGCAUUGUCGUCAUAACAUGAAGUUGCAUAAGUGAAAUUCAUACCAGUGCAAAGGUUGUUGCCUGAAUCUUUGGACUUAGAUAAGGUGGGGAUACUUAAUAAAGAAGUGUUGCAGCUCUGAAAAGGUUCGGCUCCGAUAUCAAUCACAUAGUCACCGAAUGUUAUGAUAGCCAGAACAAGUUGUCGUUGGAGCAUCUGGUGAUGGUAGCAUGGACGAUGGUUUCACUUAACGCAACUUCAUCUUCAUCAACGAAGCAAAGGCCACAGAUACUGAUCCUUUUCCAUCCAAAAAACCUCGAGAUUGAUCUUCAAACACGGAUCGGGUAUCUUUCAGCAGGCUUCUCAUGUGCAUAAUGGUGAACGGGCAUCUGAAUAUGCCACUCUCUUCUAGAAAUCUGACUGUAAACAAUAUAUGACAUGGGGGGACGAUGAGCUUGUUUGAUCGCGGGCGUUUGUGCAGAACAUUGCUUGGAUGACAUAUUAAAACAUAUUAAGAAAAGAAGAGAAGCUUAUGUAUACAAUGAUGUGGACAAAUAAAAUGUUUUCAUUGGUUUUUUAGGUUUUUUCAUUAAUUGAUGUGGCAGUUUUAUAGAGCCUUAAAAAGCUGAUGUGUCAAGGCUAGAUAAACCUCUUGUGUUAUUAUUGUGUUGAUUUCGAUCCAUGACCAUUAAACCACAGCAACUCAUUGAUAUUAUAAUCAUAAAGUCUUUUAUAUUGAAAAAUCAAUUCAAAAUUUUUUGUAAAGAAAACUUAUUUAAAACUAAUUUCUGAUAAAUUUCUGACUAAUUUCUGUUUUUUUUUGUUAAUUCAAUAAGUACACACUGAUAACAUAAGUUUUGGGCAUAGUUAUUUUUCAUCAAUCCAACUACCACAUGUUCUUUUUUUUUCCUCGAACAUUUGUCUACCACAUGUUCUUGAUACUCCAUCUACUAAUUCGAUCAAGUUGGAUUUAUAAAUUAUCAACAUCAAAAAGAGUUCCAGUUUGGGGCCCUCGUUUAUAAAAAAAAAGCUUAAUUUUAAUGUACUAAAAUAUCAUGAUGUAUACAUAAUAUAUAGACAAACGAAACUUAAUAUUUGAACGAAACGAAAUAAACGGACAACAACAAAGGAAAAUAGCCGAUAUAUAUCGAAGAAUCAAAAGCUUGUAUAUGCAUCAGAAUGAUAUGAUUAGAUAAAGAAAGAAAAUACAACAAAAAUAAUUGCAAUCUUAGAAUCAUAGAGUACAUUACGAAAGAAAAUCAUUAACGAUCAAGAAUGAAGAAUGAAGAUCGAACGGUGUUGAAUCCAAUCCUCUUCCCUAUCAUUUUGUUAUCACUUAGCGUACCUAUAGCAAUGCGUGAUCGCACUGCAUCCACGCCUAUAAGGAUUAUUCCUUCUCCUCUUCUUGCAAUCGUAGUAAGAUCUACCACGUCUAUUACAAGGAACAUUAUUCUUUUUAAGAGCAUCAUAGCCAAUGUAACGACGUCCUCUAGCGAGUUGACGUCGGUUUGUCUCUGAAUCCAUUAGAGAUUCUAGUUCAUCAUCAUCUCCGAUACAACCUUGCCCGUUGAUGCAAGAUUUAGUCAAUGGGUAGGUCGCAUUGACGGAUGUAGCUACCAUAGCUAAGAUCAAGAGACCAAAUAUGAGUAACAACUUAACACCACCCAUUUUAUAUGUAUAUUUUUGGGUUUUUUUGGUAUAGAUGAGUUCUAUGAAAGCUAUUUGCUUUAGUUUUUGGUUUCUUCUACGACCUUUCCUUAUGAAAGGAGAGGGAGAAAUAUAAAGUGAUAGAUAUUGUGCAGAAGAACAAAUGAGAGAUUGAUUUUGUUGAGGAUACAAAAAGGGUUAGACAGAUAGAGUGCGGUUUUGCCUUUUUAAUUAUUAUGUGGUCGUUAAUUCUGCUACUUUGGAAUUGGGGUUUUAACCUCGUUUUCAGGUUUGAUCUUGCCCAUUUUUUCCGCUUGGUGGUUAGAUCUAUAUUUGUUAAGUUAUAUUUGGCUCUCCUCUUUGAUCGGCUAACGAUCUUUUAUUAUUAUGUUAUAUUUAAUCAAAUUCUCAAAUUAGCAAAGUACCUAAACGUUUAUGAUCAGUUUUGUAACCAAAUUUUAAAAUCUUAGUAAAAUAAGCAAUACGCGUGGAUCUGUUGAAUCUUACUUCCAGAAAAUGUACGCAUUUAAUAAUAUUUUGUAAUUUUUUGAUCCGUAAAAUAAACAUUAUCUGUCGGUAGAGGUGUCAAAAUGGAUAAUCCAACUCAAACCAAUCCAUAACCAUAUGAACCAUUUAGUUAAUGGUUAAUGGAUAAACCUAAUCCAUUUAGUUAAUGGUUUGGAUCAACCCAUAACUCAUUUAAAAUAAUGGAUUAAUGGUUUUAAUGAGUUGACUCACUAUUAUAUAGUAUCAAUAUUACAAAUCAAUUAAAAUAAGGAGAAAUUUAUAUAAUUUUUUUCAAAUAAAAAUAUCAUUAACACUGUCUAAAAUAGUAUUAUGCAAAUUUAUAAGUAAAUUGUUAAAAUUAAUAAAAUUAUAAAACAUAAAAUUAAAACAUAGUAUUUUCAUUAAAAAACAACAUCAUGUGAACAUCUCUAUGGAAUUAUUCUUGUCAUUGUUGUCUUUAAUAAUAAACUCCCUCUAACAACACAACAAAUAUGGAAACAAUUCUGUUAGAAAAAAAAAGAAACAAAUUAACUUAAUCAUACAUAAAACUCUUGUCCAUUUCAUUUCAGAAAGACGAAUAUAAGAAACAUAAAGAAUAACUAAACGAAUCAUGAUAUAUCCAAAACAGAGAAAAUUCAAAACCAUUCUAAUACAUUCACGCCCAAUACUUCCACUUAAACAUCUCAUUCAAAUCAUUACCAAAAGCCAGCUUAGUCACACAUACUCUGACAAAACAAGGAAAAAAAGUUCAGAAACAGAGAAACAUCACAUGACUAACCUUUGCCUUACUGAUACGUUUACAGCUUUCCCCAUGACUAGUGCUAGCAAAAGCCUCUUGGAGCACACAUUCUGUCACCAGAAUAUGAACGUUUUUAACAUACUGAUCUUAAGCUUAAAUACAUAUCAUCAAGUUUUAACACAAUCAAGACUUACUCUUUAGGAGUAUGCGUGAUGUUGUUUGGCUACUUCCAGUUUCUUCUACUUCAUUUGGCCUUGAGCGAAUAAUAACCAUCUCACCACUUGGAAGACACUCUUCAUCAUUGUUCAUCAUUUUUAGACACUGAAAUAAUGUACCAAAACAAAAUAAUAAGACAAAAUCAUAUAUCUACAUUAUGAAAGACCACAUGUACACGUUAUGCUUCUUUUAUUAUAUAUAUACAAGUGUUGAAUCACAGAGUAUGGGAACUACAACUACAAGAGGAGAGACAGUGACGUUCUUUAUAUAUAUACAAGUAUUGAAACUCGAGGUUAUGUUGAACCAUUAAAACCAUCAAAAAAACCCACAACGAAAACAAAAUACUCACAACGAAUAUAACGAUUGAACCUCUUAGAUGACGAGAUAUGGCAAGUGACGAGAUGAGAAACGAUAGAGAUCAAUUGAAGAGAUCGAGAUCAAUCAAAGAGAUCGAGAGGGUCACGGCCGAAGAGGGUGAAAUAGAGAGGGUCUCGGCCGAAGAGGGUGAUUGAGAGGAUCGCCGCCGAAGCUUAAAGGGUCGCCGAAGGCGAAAUCGUCGGAGCUUUCGAGAGGAUCGUCACCGCUUCUAAAUUUUUUAAAUGGAAUUAAAGAAGAAAUUGGUUUGAUUUGGAUUAUUCAUUAACUCAUAUUAGUCCAACCCAUUCUAAACCAAACUUAUUAAACCCACUAUCCAUUAAACCCAAUUAUAUAAUAAGAUCCAAAUUCUUGACUCAUUAAAGUCCAUGGGUUGGUUUGGUUUGGGUUGAUCCACUAAAUUAUACCCAUUUUGACAUGUCUAUCUGUCGGUUCCUUAAUUUCUCAUGCAUGUACAAACCUAUAUUAGUUGUCGCCUUGUGUCCUUGGGUUUGUUGCACAAUUUUCCAAGAGAAUGAAAACACAUUAAGAAAUUUUAAAGGUUUGGUUGUACUUACACAAACAAAAAUCAAAGAAAAAUUCAAAAGUUUUAAAUCCAUCGAGUUCCUUUGUUUCUUGCGGAGUGAACUGAAUUAGAUGAGGGUAGAUGGAGACGAAUACGCGACCAAAUAACCAUCUUCUUACAUCGGAGAGAUAAUCUUAGAGCAUUAUUAGAUACCCACUGAAGUAUAAAUCUUAUGAUUACAUUUAUUGUUAUUUAAUUAUAUUUGUAAACCUUUAAAUAAUAAAAUAAAAGUGAGCCAGUGAUAGUGCAACAUCAUAAAAAUGAGUCUCUCGAGUAUUUGUCAAUAGUUUCUUUGUUAAAAUCGAUUCUUUCUCAUCUCUCCACUUUUUCUAUUUUCUUCGUUUUUAGUUACAAGAUCCUCUCUCAGAAACCUAUGCUGCGAAUGAUGAUAAGACUUUACAAAUCCCUAACUCCUUUAUUGAUUAUCAGAAAUGGAUAUGCUGCUUUGCAGGUUCCGAUCACAAUCAUCCUAUCAUGGCGAAGAUGACUGGUCCCGACGAUCUCAUGGCGACCGUAUUGCGAUUCAUGGCUACCAUAUUGCGACUCAUGGCGUCAACAAUCUACAACAUACAAAGCAUGAAGAACCAAUGAAGAAGAAGAACUCUAUUUAUAUCUCGGCUUCCAUCUAAGUCGUCUUCAACCGCAAGGCUUCUGAAUCGAGUCGAGGCUUUCUUCUUUCUGCUUUUGUACCAAUCAUUUGCCAGCUCAGCCACCCAACUGCGAGCUCAUCACCGUCCAUAUCUUGAUGUCUAUAGCACUUCCAUUGAUAAAAAUGAGAUGAGUAUUAAACAAUAUUAUAACAAUAAAAAUAGGUAAGAGCACCAUUAAAGCAAAGGGGAAGAAGGUGGGUUCUAAUUUUUUUUUAUUAUUACUUUUUUUUGUUUUGUCCGAUUUAAAAAAAAAAAAAAUUAAAAGUAAACCAAUCGCGGGCCGCCACGUGUCAGUGGGGCCCACGAACAGUUAAAAAACUUCACCGGAGUCACCUCUUGCAGAAGAGGAAGAAGAGGUGAGUUUUCUGGUUUUUGUGGGCCCUCCACCUCUUACAACUCAUUAAGAGUCAGCGAUAAUGCUGCUCUAAGGGGAAAGAACGAGAUACAACAUCUCUGUUCCGAUAUGAUCGAGACGUUUUAGGAUUUAGGAUGCUCUUAUUUACAAAUGACAUUGUAUCAUUGGCUUAAGACUUUUAAGAAAAGAAAAAUAUUCAAAACUUUUAGAAAGCUGUCAGAAAAUAUUAAUAUAAACAAAUAAGAACCUGUUGUGAGUUUAUUACCAAUAAGCUUGCUCUUAGUUUGGUUUAGCUUCCAAGAAGCAGAAACAAAUAUAGUGAAACCAAAAGACCGAUGUUGGAAUACGAGCAAACCAAACCCUGACCAAGAUGAUGUUCGUGUUUCAGUUCCCUUGCUGCUGUUUGUACUUCUGCUUUCUCAAGCCAAAGAAAAAAAAUCAAUAAGAGGGAACCAAAUCAAGAGUUUCUCUGUCUGCGUCUGUGUAACCAAAAAAAAAACUUGUACUAAGCAUUGUACUGGUAAUCAACUAGGUGAAAGUUUUUAUAAGAUGCUAUUUAAAAGACUCCAUGUCAUCCACAACUAGAACGUUUGAGCCCUUGAAUAGAACACCUCAAGACAAUGGAGAAAGUAUUGGAACAGAUCUCACACGUUUGCUCAGAGCAUCAGAGAUCUGAUCAUGAAAGUGCGACAGAGAUCCAGUAGAAAAAAAGAGUGAGUGUGUUCCAUGUUGGAGUAUGUAAAACCCCGAUCCAACUAGGGUUUUAUAACCAAAGAAACAGCAUCCACAAGUUAGAAGAAGAAGAGUUGCCAGAGAAAGCUCAACUGACAUUGUCUUGGACCUAGAUCUCCAAGAAGAACAGCUUUCGUUGACAAAAUUUUUUUCUCCACAGAUCAUUGAAUUGAAUCUGGGCUUUCCAAGGACAAUUAGAGCCGAUCAUUAAAAAGUAAAAGGUUCCUUCCGAUACAUACCGGUUUCUGUAUUUGUACGCUAAUCACUCUUUAAUUUGGUUUGAGAUAAAAAAAAAAAAAAUCAAAAUCUGUCUUGUUUAAACAAGAACAUCAUAUAGAUAUACUAUUUAUCUACCAUGUCAUUAAAAUAUAUCGUUACAUUUUUUGAUCUUUUAGAAUUUCACUAAAUAUAAUAAUGUCAAAUCUAUUUCUAAUCGAUUUAAACAUAGAUCUGCUAAUAUUUUUAUUCGAAAAAUAAAUAUAUGUUUUCAUUUUAUGUUAUAACAACAUCUUAUUCUUUUUAAAAAAUAACAACAUCGUAUAAAAUAGUGUUAAUAAUUCUUAAAAAUAAUUAUUUAAAUUCAAAAUCACUACUUAAAAUAUCAAAAGUUAGUAUUAAUUAAAUUUUGAUAAAUUUUGAUCAAUAAACCAAAACAUUCUACUGUCUUAAAACGAGUUUUUAACGGUCACAACAAAUAAUAGUUAUAUUAUUGAAUACUUAAAUAAAAUGUUGAUUUAUUCAAUAAUCGUUGGAUUAAUUUCUAACAAGUGAAUACUAUAAUGUAUGUUAUAAAAUUCAACAAAAUAAAUUUACUAUCUUUUUUAAAUCCAACAAUUUACCUCAUAUAAAACUAAAUGUGAUUAUUAGCAUAAAAAGAAAUUGAUCUAUUAUAUUUUCAAAUAUUGUCAAACAAAUCAGUUAUGGUUUAAUGUUUUUAUUCGACUCAAGUUUUUUUUUUUUUGAAGAUUUUCAAAUUCGACUCAAGUUUUAUAUGUUUAAAAAAUCAAAUCCGAAUAGGUGUUCUUUUUCUGUUUGAUUCCAAUUAUUAGAAAGAAAGUGGUCAUGUCAUGAUGAUCUUAGCAUCUAAAAAAUUAUAGUUUCCAUUUCAAAAUGUCUGACGAAACAAAAGCCUUUGUAGAUGUUGCUAUGACGCAGCUAAUAUAAUGAGGUGCUAACUCAACCCUGUUUAUUGCUAGUUAACGAUAUAGUUGAUACAUACGGUUUAUUAAGAAUACAUAUUUAAGAAAAAGUAAAGUUACAUGACGAACUAAAUAUCUCGAUUCUUAAGUGUAUGUAUGCUUGAGAAAUUUAGUUCACUUCACCCAAAAAGAACAAAAACAAGAACAUGAUUCAUGGACUAAAAGCCAGAAUAUGAAAUCUAUGAGAAGCCUUUAAGAAGAAAAGAAACAUUAUUAUCAAAUUCUGGUGACAAAGUUCUAUCACUUUAGGUAUGUUUCUGAGUGCGUUUACUUGAACCGGUAAGUGGAAUCCAACUGUGGAUAGCCCCAGUCUACAUGGUAGCAUUACUUUGGCUGUGACCCUUCUGUUUGCGUAGCGGUCGGCUCAAUCCUCUCUCAUAAAAUGGAGGCCUAUAACAAGCGACAAUGCUAAAUGUCAUCAUCAAACCGGUGCAUGCAUUCGUUUAGUUGACUUUUGCUUGGUUAAACAAGUUUUAUCUAACUUCCAACAGGCAUGGGAUCAGUCCAUCAAACUAUCUCUUAUGAUAAGGCCCUAUAGCUGUUGUCUCUUAUGAUAAAAUUAACAAUGUGUCAUAAAGAAAAGUAUCUUAAGAUAGCACUAGAAAAUGUAUUAACUCCAAAAAUAGCGUACAAAUAUAAAAUUUUCUAGAAAAUAUUUGGGAAAAUUGUUUUUUUAGAGCAAAAAAAUGGUAACUAUGUCCCUUUAUAUUAAUCUAUAUUACUUUAUGUCCCAUUAGACUAUUUUUUUUCAAAAUGCCAGUAAUGCCCUUAAAAUUAUAAUUUUUAUUCUUUUUUCGUUUUUUUUUUAUUUUUUUGUUCCUUUUUCGUUUUUUUUAUUUUUUUUUUAAAAAUCAAUUUUUUUUUUUCAAAAUACAAAAGUGAAUAUUUCCAAAUAUUUUGUUUCCAUAUUUUUAGGAACUGAUUUUUUAUCUGUAGAAUACAACUAAUAUGUAGAAAACGGUUUCUACAGUUUUUUAGAAUUAUAGUGAUGUUUAGAUUUUGAUUUCUACAUGUUUUAGAUUUAUAGUAAAUCUGUAGAAGUCGGUUUCUACGUGUUUUAGAUUUAUAUUAAUGUGUAGAUUUUGAUUUCUAAAGAUUUUAGAACGAUAGGUUAAGCGCGGAAUGUGUAUUCUAAAUAUUUUUAGAAUACUCCUAUUUACGUAGAUCACGUAUUCUAAACAUUGUAGAUUCAAUGAAAAAAGUGGAUUUCGUUUUCUACUUCGUAGAAUGUCAUUUCUACUUUAUUUAGAACAUAAUAUGAAAUUGAUAAUUUUAACUUUUUUAUAACUGGAAAAAAUAUCACUAAGUUCAUAUAGGUAUUUUAUCAAAAGUUACUAUUUUUCCAAAAAAAUUUUGUUUGUAAAAUUAUUUAUUAAAUUUAUUUUCAAAAAUAUUAAAGGGUGUUAUAGGAAAAUAUGACACAAAAUAUAAAUUAGUCUAAAGGGACAUAGUUACCAUUUUUUUGCUCUAAAAAAACAGUUUUCCCAAAAUAUUUUUACCUAAUUUUUUAAAAGUGGUUAGGAUUUAAACUUUAGUAUUUAAAGAGUGAGUUUAAUAUUUGGAGUAAUUUAGUCAUCUUAUUUUUUUACUUAAUAUUAUUUUGGAGAUUUUCCUCUUUAUAUUUUAUUUUUAUUAUAUUUUUUGUGAUGUCUAAAGAAUUUGCCUUUUUAUCAAUACUACAAAGACUAUACAUGUGAUAAAACGAAAACGAAAGGAUUAUUGGAAAAAAAAAAGGAUGCAUUGAAGCAAAAAAAAAAAACUAAUUCAACGAAUGUUGUAUAAUUAAGUGCGACAGAGGAGACUAAUAAUGACAGGAUUCAUGGAUGGCGGCUAGGUAAGGAUUAAAGAAAUGUUUUCAUUUAUUCUAAAAUCUUAGUUGUCACAAACUCUGUAAUGAUGCUUACAUUAGUGUUUGGACAAUAAUAAUAGCCUCUUAAUUUUCUAUCCUCUUAAUUUUCUAUCAUCUGUUCUUAAAAGAUUCAUAUUCUAAUUUUUUUCACACAUUUUAAUAAAAUACAUUAAAUUUGCAUAAUUUUUUGUGUUUAUCUUUUUUCCAUAAUUUUUACCCAAUAAAAAAUUAAUUAGUGCAAUUAAAUUUUUUGAAAUUUGCAAUUAGUUAAUAAAAUAUGCAUUGAAAAUGUAAAAAAUAAAUCUUUUAGAAACAAUUUUUUUCUAAAAUAUAUAUGUUUAAAGAACGGAAAGAGUAUACUUUAAUUACAUGUUAAAAUUUCAAGGCCCAGCAGUAACAAACUGCCGUAUGUCCUUUAUAGUAGUCCAAGAUGAGUUAUGAUUAAUUAAACCUCACAGAAAGACAGAGAUUAAAACUUUCUUUUAAGAAAUCAGAUUUCCUUUUUAAGAAAUCAGAUUUGGUACGUAUAUCUCUAUAAUAUUAUUUGAGAAGUCACUUUCAUAGGUGUUGCAUUCACGUUAACUCUCACAGUGGUUGAUUACUAUGAUACCCCUAAUGAAAUAAAAAAGUACAUUCAAAUAUUAUUCUUUACUUUUUAAAAUUUUCUAAAUAACAAUAUAAAUAAAAAGGAAACAUUUAUAAAGUUUUAAAAAUAAUUUAAAAACGAAAAAUAUAUGUAUAUAUAAUAUGAUUUCAUAAAAAAAGGAAAGUUCACAAAAUAGAAAUAUUCCAUUUAAAAGAUAUCUUUAAGUAACAAAAAAUAUAUACUUUUGAAGUUAUAAAAUACUUUUUUAUAUCUUCAUCUUCUGAGAUGAAAAAAUAUAUUUGUAUAUAAUGUGAUUUCAUAAAAAAAAAGUUCACACAAAUGAUCUUGAUAUUAGAAAAAGAAAUAUUUUUUUUCUUUAAAAACAUAAUUUUGCACAAUACAAAUAUAUAUUUUCAAAGUAACUGAAUUUUUUAUAUAUCUAUAUAUUUUCUUAGAUGAUUACACAAAAUAAUUAAGUAACAUAAACAUAUAUAGGUUUAAUUGAAAAAAAUAUUUUUUAAUUAUUAUUAUUGAAUAUUUUUUAUGUUUUUUCAUAUAUUUAGUUUACUAUAAUAUCUUAAAAUUACGGGAAUAUAAUAUGAUUUAUAAAAUACAAUCACAUUUUUACUGCAUAUUUUAAGAGAUAUUGAAAAAACUAAAAAUAAAUUUUAGCAAUAAACAUAUUAACAAAUAAACAUAUUAGCAACUAAUUCAACUUAUAUCUAAAAUCAUAGAUGUAACUACAAUAAGAAUGUAUAAUUUAUUAGCAACUAACCCAACUUAUAUAUAAAAUCAUAGAUGUAACUACAAUAAGAAUGUAUAAUUUAUUUAUUUUGUUUAUAUAAUAAUAAUUUAUUUAUUUUUUUUAUAUAAUAGUAAUUUAUUUAUUUUGUUUAUAUAAUAAAAAUUUGUUUAUUUUGUUUAUUUUAUAAAUUUAAAUUAUAUGAUGACUUAAAACAUAUUAACAAAUGAUAAAUAAAAUAUUAACUCACUCUUACAAUUUAGAUCUUUUGUAAAAUUUAUAUAUAUGCAUGAGACUUUAGAAUAUUAUCAUUAUAUUAAUUUAUGUAAUUUGGAAUCAGACAUUUUAAUUUAUUUUUUAUUUCAUUCUAAUCACAAUAUAUCUUAAAUUAUACAUAAUUUUAAUAAAAUAUACUUAUGUAUUUAAGACAAUAACCAACCUAAAAUGCAAAUAAGAAAAUUAAUCAAAAAUUAAUAUAUUUACAAAAAAUAAAUAUUAUAGUUGAAUUCAAAUAAAUAGACAGAAUCUAAUAUGUCCAAAUGACAAUUAAAUUGACUGUAAAAACAACAAAACCAAUUAGAUAAAUAUUUAAUUAAAGUAAUAUGAUACAAUUAAUAUAAAUUAUACAUACGAAUUAUAAAUUAAUUUAAAAUUUAAAAUAAAUAUCAAUUAAUUAUUAUAUUAUAUUUAUUUUAUAAAUAUGGAUGUCCGUGCAUGAGCACGGGAAAAUCACCUAGUUGUAAGUAAAAACUAAAACCAGCGUGCUUUAAUUUUCGUAGAUUUGUAAACUAUAUAAAAAUGGACACAUCACUAAUCAUCAAAUAAAUAUUUUCACAUAACUAUAUAAAUUUACCAAAAACUAACAAUGGUUUCAUUCACAUUCAGACAAUUAAUUACCUAUUUUUACAAAUUAUCUUCAUAUUUUUGUUCUGACAAUGUUUUAAAUUUUGGGUUACAACAUGGCUUAUUAUCUUAAUACAUUAAUCAAAAAAUAAUUUUAAAGAAUUUUCACACAUUAAAUUUUUUAUAAUGUAUCAUAAAUGUAUAAUUUUAAUUAUUUUAUGACUUAAAACCAACAGCGAUUGCAAAAUCAUUAAACACUUUAGAAUCGAUUUAUUAUUAACCAAUAAAAUAUACACUAAAUUUUUUAAAAUAAUAUUUUUCACAAACAAAAUAAAAGUAGGAAUUAAUUAGAUAUUAACUACACAUAGACAUAAUUAAAAGUAUGAAAUUGCCAUUUUUGUUUGUUUUGUUUAACGCGGAAUAAUGAAUUUCAUUAAAGGGAGAGAGUAUUUAGUUCUUCGUCAAUUUUGACAGCAUAAUUAUUUAUUUGUUUGUGUGUAUGGAAGAGUGACUUUUGGUGGCCUUUUGUGUGUUGCUGCUUCAGAGAGAUUUCCCCAGUUUUUGUAAAUUCGUGUGAAAUAUAAAAACCCCCAUUCACAAACCCUAGAUUCUCUCGUUUCCUCGUGAUCCGUUCUGAGCUGAGUUUUGUAGAUCAGAUCGCAAUUUAGGUGAACUUGAGCAAGCUUGAGCUCUCUUGAAUCUGGAACAUUGGAAUUGAUGGAAUGAUUUGAGGAGGAGGAGGAGGAGAGCGAUGACUGGAUUGGGCGUUCGAUCCAGUAGCUAUGGUUCCUUGGACAAGACGGGACUCAACGGCGUCGUUUUGCCUAUCCAGACUUUGACUACUACUACGAUACGCACCAAACCAUCGAAGAUGCAUAAGGAGAGGGAGAGGGAAGGUGUUGUUCACUGGAUCUGCAAAUUCGCUGGCCGUAAGAAGGUUGGCAUGCUGCUCCUCUUCUUGAUCUCCGCCGUCGUCUUCCUUCGCGUCCUCUUCGUCGGCAAAGGUAACCGUCAGAUCAUCGUAAUGAUUCUUAAUUGGAGUAAGUUUGAUUCCUAUUGGUUAGGUUCUGUUUAGGCUUCGAAUUGAGGAGUCGUUGUUGUGUAGAGUGAUGAUCGUAAUGCUGAGAAUAUAUUAUGACUGAGAAGCUUUAUUUGAGCUGGAAUCUACUACUACUUAAAGUUGUGAGAAUAUUCUAUUUGGAAUUGUUGUUCAGGUGAAGAUGGUCAGGAAGUUCAAGUUCCUCCGAGUCUGCAUUUCAAUGGCAGUUCAGUUGUAAAUCACUCCAGCAUGUUUAAUGAAGAGCAAAACAUCAACAUUCGCAAUAUUUCUUUUAAUGUUGUAUUUUCCCCUCCUCCUUUGCAUUUUCUUGGCUAUACGCUUCCUCAAGGCCAUCCUUGUCACACUUUCACCUUGCCUCCCCCACCUGCCGACAGAAAAAGAACUGGACCUCGCCGUAAGAUUUGAUUUUUUUUUAAUCUUUCUUCUCUGAGAUUACUACAAGAUUGUUGUUGUGAUGAUGCUGAAAAGAUCGGAGAUAUGCUUCUGCUUGGUUUUGGUUUCAGCAUGCCCGGUGUGUUACCUUCCUGUAGAAGAAGCUAUCGCCUUGAUGCCAAGUGCCCCCUCGUUUUCCCCUGUUCUUAAGAACUUAACGUACAUAUAUGAAGAGCCACUAAACAGAGACACAGAGUUUGGAGGAUCGGAUUUUGGUGGUUAUCCUACUUUGAAACAUAGGAAUGAUUCUUUUGACAUUAAAGAAACUAUGAAUCUACAUUGUGGGUAAGCAUCUUUGUGGUCUUUUUAAUUCCCCUCGUCUGUUUUUUUUUUAAACAAUCUCAUCUUAGUAUUUUUUUUUCCAUCAGGUUUGUCAAAGGGCCACAACCUGGUCGAAAUACAGGUUUUGACAUGGAUGAGGCUGAUCUUCUUGAAAUGAAGCAGUGCCGUGGGGUAGUUGUUGCUUCAGCUGUAUUUGGUAGUGCUUCACGUUAUACUUUAUCUUAUUUUGUAAUUAAUCGUUCUAGUCAUGUUGCCAAUUUUUAUGUGUUUUUGAUGAAGAUUAUUUCUCUUUUCAGACGCUUUUGAUGAUGUAAAAGCCCCACAAAAUAUCAGUAAAUACUCGGAGGAAACAGUUUGCUUCUACAUGUUUGUUGAUGAAGAAACUGAAUCAAUUUUGAAGAGAGAACGAGGCCUUAACGACACCAAGAAAGUAGGGAUAUGGAGAGUUGUUGUUGUUCAUAAUCUCCCUUAUUCCGAUGGAAGGCGCAAUGGAAAGGUAGAUGCACAUCUCUUCUCUUUCCUAUGAUGAAAUUAUGCAUUCAGUUACCGAAAUUAAAACAUGAGUUUAGUGACAUGCUGGAUAUUCCCCCUUGUGUUUACAAUCUUUCACCAAAUGUAUUGCAUUCACUCUGCUGUAGCAGCAGCCUUCUUGCUUUACUAGGCUUGACGUUGUUUACUGGAAAGGGGAAACAUUAUAAAGUCCACUUAUAUGCUGAUACCUCGUUCUCUUUGUAGGUGCCAAAGCUUCUUGUUCAUAGGAUGUUUCCAAAUGCUCGCUAUUCUUUAUGGAUUGACGGAAAACUUGAGCUUGUCGUGGAUCCAUAUCAAAUUCUUGAAAGGUAAAGCCUAUCAUGGUUUGUCCUUUAAGAUUAAUCUCAGGAUCUCUCUAGUGAUUUGCUGUAUUUAGUGGUUCCCAUGUUGGGACCAUCUUGAAUUAUGGUUGGCUAUGCUGCUUCCUGCAGUUACUUACUAAUAAACAUUCUUCUAGUCAUAUUAGUGAAUGCUUAUGGUAAGAAUCUGCUAGAUACACCUCUAUCUCAGAUAAGUUGUCUUGAAGCAGCUAGCUCUUUGUGCUUUAUGUUCCAGUAACUUAAAAAUGUUCAACUGUUUCAAAUAAGUUCAUCCUUUUAUUUAAAGACCUUAGGCUUGGUGGGCCGCAGCAAUCUGAAUGACCUCUGUUUUCAUCAGGUUCUUGUGGAGGAAAAAUGCUACGUUUGCGAUCUCUAAGCAUUAUAGAAGAUUUGAUGUCUUCGUGGAGGCUGAGGCAAAUAAAGCUGCUGGUAAAUAUGAUAAUGCCUCCAUCGACUUUCAAGUGGAUUUCUACAAGAAUGAAGGGCUAACCCCUUAUUCUGUUGCUAAGCUGCCAAUCACAAGCGGUAUGUCUCUUUUGCCUUACUCUUUCCAAAAUCCAUUUUACAGGAUCAAACGUAUGUUUUAUACACAAAAUAUAUUGUCUGGCUUAUGCAGACGUUCCGGAGGGCUGUGUCAUUUUAAGAGAGCAUGUUCCCAUUAGCAACCUAUUCACUUGUCUUUGGUUCAACGAAGUAGACCGAUUCACUUCUAGAGAUCAGAUCAGUUUCUCAACAGUAAGAGACAAGAUUGCUGCGAAAACAAACUGGACAGUAAGCAUGUUCCUUGACUGCGAGAGACGCAAUUUUGUUAUUCAGGUGAGUUUCUUCUUUUCAUGGUGACUUAGCCUAAGCAAAAAAUAGUAAAGAGAGAACCCUGACAUUAUAUCAAACAAUCUAAUGCAGAGAUAUCAUCGAGCAGAACAAGAGAGAUUCGCAAGGCAAAAGCCUCCAGUGCCUAGUUUUUCUCCCCCACCGCCGUCACUGCCGACACCAGUUUUAAUCAGCAGCGAUUUGCCUAGAAAAGUCUCGAGUGGAAGAGCGGGUAGAACAUCGCCGCCUAGGAGGCGGGGAAGAGACAGACGGUCCGGUGCAAGGGGUCACAGGAAAGCUAAUUUGCCUGUAAGAUUACCAGAUUCAGCUUAAGACUGAAAGAGUCAAAGUCCCUUGCACAGAGGUUGGUUCUAUAUGGUCACUCUCAUCACCAAUUACACGUUCAAAAUUUACCACACACAGUAUGUUCUUUUUUGUUUUGUUUCUCUAUUGAUUCUUAAGGAUUCAAAAUCAUUUUUUAAUGUAUAUAUAUACACAGACUUUGGCUGAAACUAUAAAAAAAGUGGAACGUAAUGAUCUUCCAUCAGACGAAUAUUUCAGAGAAUAUUGAACAGCCAGUUUUUACAUGUUGAAUUGAUGGAUUUUGAAAGAGUGUUUUUUUCACUACGAGAUGGAACUUGUAGGUCUUUAUAGGGAGUCUUACCUCUCAUCAUCCAAAAUUUUGUAUUUUAUAAUUAUAAAUGUAUUUAAAUUUUAAGAAAAAUAUCUACUGUUUAGAGGUACGUCUAUGCAAAUUUUACUCACAACUUGUUUUUUUUUUUUGCAAAAUUUAAAAUUUACAUUCAAUUUUUUGAACAAGAUAUUAAAUUAUAAAGUUAUUGUCAUGUGCGUAUCCAUCAAUUAUCAGUUGUACUACACGAAAAUAUGGUCUUUCACUGCAUUCAUACCAGUCACUAUGUCAAUUCAUUAGAUUUAAAUUUAUUUCUUUAUGGGCCCUAACUUUAGACUCUCUCAUAAAUCUGAUCAGAUUAAAUGAAUUUAUCUUUACUUGGCCAUGAUUAUAUGUUUCUACUUUAAAUAGAAACUAACUUGUAGGUGAAUAAUAAUGACCUGUUUAUUUGGGUGAACAAUCUAUUAUCAUGUGCACAUGAAAUACAUGCGACACACGCUACAGAGUACAGAGAGUCAAAAUCAGUACCGAUAUUUGUUUCAAGUCUGGAAUAAAGUAAGCUUAGAAUUCACAUCAACUCACUUAUACUCAUCACAGAGUCGUGGAAUGUUAUCUACCUUAGACUCAUCGUUGAUUUGUAUAAGUCACUUUUGAUUUCGCUUAUUGUGAACUAACACCACUAGUUUGAUUAUGGUCGAUGGAAUGAUAGUUUAUUCCUUGUUUGUCACGAAGAAUAACAAGUGUAGAUUCGAACUUCAAAGUAGACUAGUUAAAAGAUGGUCUAGAACCAGUGUUUUAGUACACGUUGAUUAUGAUCACAGCCUCACAGGGAUAGUAUGGCAGGGAUUCUUCUUAGGUGCCAUGAGGGUUGUAUUCUGUGCGUCGUCUCUAACUUUCGUAUAUAAUCACAAUAAGAAGUCAUUCUCUUACUGCUGUGAGUACCGUCACCUGGGUUCGAAUCCCGGCCAGUGGGGAAUUAACAUUUUGGUAUCGACAGGGACAGAUGACCGACCCGUAAAAACACGUGACUAGUCUGGAUCACUUCUGUGGGGCCAGGAUACCUCUGUAUAAUUCAAAAAAAAAGAAGUCAUUCUCUUAUUCAAUAUCUUAAAAGCUCACAAAUCACAAAUCACAAAUCACAAAAUCAUGUUAUGCAACACAAUAUGCAUCUCCAUAUAUAUAUAUAGAACUCAUAAUUUCCUAAACUCAUUAGUUUUAACAUAAAUCAAUAUUUCCUAAUCUUAAUAGAUUUCCAUAACACACUAGGAUUAGAUAGCUUCCAUCUCAAGCUACUUCAAGCUACUCCAACAUUCUGGUGUUCUCAUCAGUGUUCUUCUUCGGGUGACGGAAGUCCUGGCUGUCCUUUGUUUUCGAGAGAAGUUUCAGCCGGAGAAAGGUGUCUCUCUCUUUUCUCUAUAUGGGGAUUUGUUUCUUACUUCCUACGACGAGUAUAAAUCCGGAAGCAAGUUCUCGAUAAACCUCAGCCUCCGGAGACAGAAUUGCCUCCUCUUCCAGUUAGUUUCUCUGUUGUUGCUUGAAAGUCGUUUACUUUUCUAUUAUGUGUGAUAGUUUUCAUCUUAUUAUUUCGGCAAGUGUAAAGGUAGACUUUGGCAUAUAAUUAGCAGCAGGCUCGGUCCUGGAAUUUGUAAAACAAUUUCGACCGGAAGCUUUAAAAAACUAGACCAAAAUAAUUAUAAGAAAAAAAGAAAAGAAUGAAGUUGCUUGCUUCGAACCCAUGAUCAGAAUUUUACACAGUACACACGUUUUUCUGGUUGAACUAAUGAAGACUUUGCAAAAUUAAAAGCCGAUAUUUUAUUUAUUUUUAAGAAAGCAGGAAGCUGGUGCUUCCUCCGUUUCUUUCCAGGGCUGGUACUGGCAAAAUCGAAUAAAUUUUUACAAAGUGACGGUAUGUUGUAAGUAUUGUUCAGUGAUAACUAUUAGACAUAAAUUAUUAUAAGGCAUAUAUAUUUAUCGGUUGUAUGUAAUGUUUUUCGUAAUACAAAAUCAAUGUUAAAAGGGUGUAAAUGUAAAAUUCUUUGAUAAAAAAACAAUUAAUACAUAAUAAGACUGUCCACGAUGAUUUCAGUAUUCAAAAAUCUUUAGAAACAAACAUAUGACAUCAGUGGUCUUCUCUUCAUCCUUCUUCAAAUGUUGAAUGUUUUCAACACUAAAUAACUCAUAUCAUCAAAUUUCAUUGUUCAACAAGUUCAUUAUGAUUCAACUACAAAUGUUUUAUUCAACAUUUUCAUUGUAAAUGGUCUAAGAAGUGAUGACAAAGAUAUAAUUCUAAGGUAGGGAAAGUCAUACAUAUCAUUAAAACAAAUUGAAUAAACGUUCAAAAAUCUCUACACAUCUAUCAUAAUACAAAGAUGACUUAUUCUUAGGUCCACCCCCUAGGGUGAACCUCUAGGUUCACCAACCAAUAAGAUUGUUUUAUUUUAUAUUCGAUAUCUUUUAAAAAAAGAAACAAAAUAUUGUCAAAUUAUAUUAUGUUUUUAAAAUUAAAAGGUAAAAAAAAUAGUAAUAAUUACAAAAAAAUAAUAUUUUACGUCGUUAGCAUAACAUUAAACCCUAAAUUCUAAUCCCUAAACCCUUAAUCCUAAACCCUAAACCCUUGGAUAAACCCUAAACUCUAGGAUAAAUCCUAAACUCUAAAUCAAAAUCACUAUAUACUAAAACAUUCAAGCGUUUAGAGUUUAGGGUUUUAGUGUUUUUUAUUUAGAGUUUAGGAUUUAUCCAAGGGUUUAGGGUUUACCCAAGGGUUUAGGGUUUACCCAAGGGUUUAGGGUUUACCCAAGGGUUUAGGGUUUAUCCAAGGGUUUAGGGUUUAGGGUUUAGGAUUUAGGAUUUAGGGAUUAGGAUUUAGGGUUUAGUGUUUUGUUGAAAACAUUAAAAAUAUAUAUUUUUUUAAUUCUUUUUUCUGUAACUAUUAUCUUUUUUUACUUUUUUAUUUUAAAAACAUAAUAUAAUUUGAGAAUAUUUUGUUUCUUUUUUUAAAAGAUAUCGAAUUUGAAAUUUUGAAAUUUUAUUGGUUGGUGAACCUAGAGGUUCACCUUAGGGAGUGAACCCAAGAAUGACUCAAGAAUAUUAACUUUUCAGACUUUUAAUAUCAGUCAGUUUGUAUCUAAAUCAAAGGAUCUGCAUUAAUGUCAAAAAGCUAAGAAAUCAAAGAUAAAUCUUCCAAUUAUAGAACGAAUAUUCUGAUUUUAUUAAUGUUCUUCCACUAUAUUAGGAGAGAGAGACUUAUUUCAAGUUGUAAAAAUAUGUAGAUAAAAUCAUGAUAUUAAUUAGUAUGAAUAGUAACAGCUCCACGAGAUAAUUACAAUGUUUUUUUCUUUGACUAACUAAUUCCAACGUUUUUUAUUUGAUACAUAACAUAACUGAUAACAAGAUUUGUGGAGAUAAAACAGGAAAAACCAUCGCUAGGUCAAACAAAAAAACAAAGAUCAUACAAAUCUAAGAAACAAAGAUCAUAACAUAAUCAUUUUGAGAGAAAAGACAGUAAGUAGCUUCUGUUUGUUUGUAUGUCUGUUUGUUUGUUUUAUAACUAACGUAACUCCUACAACACCAACCCUAAGGUUUCAUUGCUCACAGAAAUCAAAACCAUCUAUCUCGUUUUGAAAAUUCAAUCGAGGAGACAAGAAUGGCGAGGGCUCUUGUGAUCAUAAACUGCAUCAUUCUGGCCAUAGGAAACUGUGGAGGUCCUCUGAUCAUGCGUCUCUACUUCAACAAUGGUGGCCACAGGAUUUGGUUCUCCACUUUUCUUGAAACCGCUGGCUUUCCGAUCAUAUUCAUUCCUCUUUUCUUCUCUUACCUUAACCGGCGCAGAAGCAACAACAAUGAAGGGGAGAAUACACGGUUCUUUCUCAUUAAACCACGUCUCCUUAUGGCUGCGAUUCUGAUAGGGAUCCUCUCAGGGUUCGAUAACUACUUAUACGCAUACGGCAUAGCUUAUCUCCCGGUUUCAACAGCUGCUCUCAUCAUUGCUUCACAGUUGGCUUUCAUAGCUAUCUUCUCGUAUUUCAUGGUCAGCCAUAAGUUUACUCCUUUUACCAUCAAUGCUGUUGUGUUGUUGACUGUUGGAGCUGCUGUAUUGGGCAUGCAUACGGAAACUGAUAAGCCGGUUCAUGAGACUCACAAGCAGUACAUGGUUGGGUUCUUGGUGACUGUAGCAGCCGCUGUUAUGUAUGCAUUUCUAUUGCCGUUAGUGGAACUUGCUUACCAGAAAGCUAAACAACCCAUGAGCUAUACGCUUGUGCUUGAGGUUCAGAUGAUUUUGUGCUUCCUUGCUUCUUUAGUCAGCCUCGUUGGUAUGCUCAUCGCUGGUGAUUUUAAGGUAUGUUACUCUUUGAAACAGAUCAGAUGUUUUUUUGACUCAUGUCCUGAGUCCUUCACCCUUUUUUUUUUAAUUAUUUGCAGGCUUUACCAAACGAAGCAAGAGAGUUCAAGCUUGGAGAGGCAAUGUUCUAUGUGGUGGCUGUACUUUCAGCCAUAAUAUGGCAAGGGUUCUUCUUAGGAGCCAUUGGUUUGAUCUUCUGUGCAUCGUCUCUUGUCUCUGGUAUAAUGAUAUCAGUUCUUCUGCCAAUCACAGAGGUUUUAGCUGUUAUUUUCUACCAUGAGAAGUUCCAAAAAGAAAAGGGUCUUUCUCUUGCUCUGUCCCUUUGGGGUUUUGUCUCUUAUUUUUAUGGUGAGAUCAAAGCCGACAAGGAUAAAAGAAUACAAGAGGAGGCACAACUGAAUUCUUUGCCUAGAAGAACGAGAAUUACUGAGUGUUAAAACUUAAACACAUGAGCUUAGAAAGACAUCAUAAAGGUUUUAUUACUUCAUUUCAUCCCUGUUACACUGUUAUUAGAUUAGAGGAUAUUAAACAGCUUGGAACUAUAUGCCAAACACACAACUCUAAGAAGCUUUUUUUUUACCUUUUAUACUACUCAAAUGAAUUUGUGACAGAAAAAUUGCAAAGUUAGUCUUGUGUUGUCUUCUGCUGGUUGCUUUUAGCUUUCAUCUAUCUUGAUGGAGGUUUCAUCACAUUAACUUGUUCAACAAUAACGCCACAUCACCAUUGUGGAUAAAUCGCGUAAUUCGAGGACCAGUCCCACCUGUAAGUUCAGCUAGUAGAGCUUCUGGUAAAGCCUGUUUGGUUCAUUUGUAUGAUUCUUCAUUAUCACCAGUAAGAGGAGAUAACACUCGGUUGAAACACAAUGCAAAGGAAAAAUCUUAAGACAACCACACCCAAAUAUUUUUAGCUUUUUCUAACCACAUAUCUUUCACUCAUACUGCUUCCCCUAGAGAUUCUAGUUAUUUGAUUGAAACUUGAAUACAUCAAAAACAAGCCUAUUUAUACCAAUACAUACAUGCUUUACAUACUUCUUUCCUGUUUAUUCUUUCUAGCAAGGCCUAGAAAAUCCAUCAAUAACAUAUAAGGAUAAUUCCUCUACGUUAUAAUAAACACAAAGCAGAUUCAAAAUGCAUGUACGCACCACCAGUUUC
rnacentral:lncRNA from 1 species